rnacentral:lncRNA from 1 species
UUUUCUUUUUCCUUUUCGCUGACACAUCUUCCGUUGGCAUCAACAGCACUGUGGAAGCAACCGGUGAUAUCUUAAGUCGGCAUAGAUAGCUCUGUCACCGUAGAGUCAGUCGGUCUCGCAGUAUCUUCCGUUGGCAUCAACAGCACUGCGGCGAGAACGGUUGAUUGCCUAUCCAAGUCUCGGUCGAGAAGGGUUCUAAAUCCUUAUUGGUCGAGGUCAUCUCAUCAGCUUUCUCGGCGAAGUGAGGUGUUACAGUUAUUACAUUCGGCACAUUGAAAGCCGAAUUUGAUAUUGAACUUCGUAAGAAUAGUAACCUUGUCUUCAGGUUCGAGAGCCCAAGAGGCCGAGACGUGUUCCUUUCUCGGCCGCAAUCGCAAGACGCAGAAGUCAGUAGCGCGACCCAACGCAACAUCAACAAAUUUACUCAUCGGCCGAGCUCGGCGGACGAGUUGGCACGCCCCGCAUUCACCGAAUGACGUAGUUAGCUCAGUAAUUACUCGGCCUGCGCGCCACGUAGGCUUUGUAGUUUCUAGGGUCAACAUUUUGGCACGCCUAGUGGGACCCAGUGCUAAACUACGAAGUUCAUGCCAAUUGAAACACGAUCGGUAAAAAAGAAAACAGCUAUGGGAAAGUCGACAGCCGAUUUGCCGAGUCAGAGCAUAGGACAGAGUGUGCCACAGGCGCAGAAUCCCCUUAGCACUAUGACACCUGAGUCCACGAGCGCGACUCGCCGAGAGAGAGAAAUUAAUCUCGGUGGUCAACUCCGUAGUUUAGAAAUCCCUAACAGAAACACAGGCGUUCUCAAUGAAGGGAUAGUAGAGGAGUGUGACGAGGAUGGUGGUGAAGGAUCUGACCCACCAACGAGGUCGUUUCUCCGAAAGCGACUAGACGAGCAGUCUCGGUCAGUCGAGCAGACGUUCAGUCGAGGCAUUGACAAGCUACAUGACGCGAUACUCAGUUCUAACGAUCGACAAACCAGGCUACUCGAAAUGCUAGUUGGUAAAGUUGGUGGCAGCAGGCCUUUCGAUCUUCUCCAGCAUUGUCCACCAGGAAACAACCCGGUACCGAUUGUACCGGCCGAGCCUAUUCCUGUUCCGCUCAAACCAAUUAACUUGGAAAAAGGAGGAGGAUCGAAUAGUAGGUCAGACGGGACCGAUCAGAGGAUCGAAGCAACACCUGUUGAUAUGACCGAAGUUCAGCGGAUGAUCGACUCGGCCAUGAAGAAAGGGCCGAAGUUUCCCAAGUUUAUUCACCCGUACCCAGCUUACGUGGAAACGUUUGGAUACCCGAAGGGUUUCAAGAUCCCAGAUUUUAGUCUUUUUUUCCGGUGAAUCGUCCCUGUCUUCGUUGGAGCACGUGGCUCGUUUCACCACGCAAUGCGGAGAUGUUAAUAGUGAUUUCCAUAAGUUACGGCUGUUCAACUUUUCGUUGACCGGCUCGGCAUUUGCCUGGUACAUCAAUCUCCCUCCUAAUUCCGUCCAAAACUGGGAGGAGUUGGUCGAAAAAUUCCACGAGCAGUUUUAUCGGCCGGGGAUGGAGAUGUCAGUCUCUUCAUUAGCACGGAUGGCUCAAGCAUCUGAUAAAUCACCAAUGGAUUAUCUGACCAGGUUCAAAUCAGCUAGGAACUGGUGCCGAGUGCCUUUACCUGAAGUCGAAUUUGUUAGGCUUGCUUUGAACGACCUUGACGUCGAAUACAAAAAGAAAUUCUUGGGGGCAAAUUUUCGGGAUAUGUACGAAUUAGCCCAACAUGUCGAGCAAUAUGAUUAUUUGCUCCGCGAGGAAAAGACUUCGAAGACUCCAACUCGGGGAACGAUUUACAAGAACCCUACUGUCAAUUAUGCAUCAACCGAGGAUGAAUGCGUUAGUGUGGAUGCUGUUGAGAUAAUGAUAGAUAAACCAUACGUUUGCAAGGCAUUGACUCAGGUUGAUUCUAGAGAAGCCAAAAGUCGCUCGGCCACUAAAGGAACAUUGAAACCGUCAAAGGUUUAUACUUUUGAUAUUACCAAGGCUGACGCCAUUUUUGACCAACUGUUAUCAGCAAGAAUCAUCAAGCUUCGGCCUGAUCAUAACAUUCCUAAGGCCGAAGAGCUUAAAGGAAAGGUGUAUUGCAAAUACCACAAUUCGAGCAAACAUACGACAAACAAUUGCGUUGUGUUUCGCGAUAACGUCCAAAGCUGGAUUGAUAAUGGCAAGUUGAAGUUUCCCGAGAAGAGGAUGAGUGUUGAUACUGAUCCGUUCCCCACGGCAACAGUAAAUAUGGUCGACGCGUACCUACCCAAGGAUAAAGGGAAAGGCAAGGCCGAAGUGGUUGAGACGCAGCGCCCGCGGAAUCAGAAUUUUCGGCCACGGUUCCUGGCCGAUUUUCGGUCAAACAAACCACCUAUGGCUUUAACGGGGCCUGCUAUUGUCAAACCUAUGAUGGAUUAUAGCACCGAUGAAGACAUUGGGACGGCGGUUUUGUGCAGGAAAUGUAGAACGAAGGUCGACAGUGAACCAGAGGAGAAGCCCGCUUCGCAGCCUGUGGCCGCAACUCGGCAAAAGGUGGCCAAUGAAGGCCAACAUCACGGGGUUUUUGGGAGGCUCGGUCCUAAAAUACGGAUGGAAGAGACACCCCCGGUCAGGCGGCGCCUCGAUUUUGAUGCUUCAUUCUAUGAUGAUGAUUACUAUAAGCGUAAUUCUAGCAGUUCAGAAUCAUCGCGGAGCCAGAAGACCUUCAAGCCUCCCGAGCCUAGAGAUCAGCGUUGGUAUACAUAUCAUUCUUCGAAGGGCGUCUACACCGCGUUGUCCAAAUCUCAGAAACGCCGGCAUCAACGAAUAGAUUGCAUGGCUCGCCGACGAGCAUCCCAAGAAACUUCGGCCCCUAAGUGGCGGCCGAAGGACACAGUUGCCACUGAUGAUGAGCGACCACCUCCAGCAAUUAUGACAGAGUUGGCUCAGGGGAAACGGCAAGUCGAUCAAGAUGUCGAGACCAUGUUUGAAGAAGCUGAUAAACGGAUCAAACUUCUCAUUCGACCAGGGGAGAUGAAGGCACGCCUUGAACAUUUCAGGCAAGAGGCCGAAAGCAAAUUAUCCCCGCCGGCUAUACAAGAACCUUUGGUCAAAAUUCGACGGAAUUUGCAUCCCCCGUUCCUUGGGGAGUCUUUGGAGUAUAUGCGAGAAUUUCAUAAGAAACAUUCGGCCAACGAUUUGUAUGGUUUGCCGAAGGCAUGCCAGGACACCAUUGAUCUGGUCCUGACUUGUCCGGAUGCUGAGCGGGUCAUUCAGAAAACCUCAGAUCCAGGAUUGAAAGCAAGGUUCCAGCACAUACGAGAAGCUCGUGUCCUUGGAUUCGAAGUCGAUCCGUACACUGAUAUCAAUGCAGCCGACCUUCCUUUCUCGUUGGACGACCUUCAGUAUUUACGAUAUCACUUUGAAGUAUUUUCGGCGGUUUCUCUCUUCGGCCUUACGACUGAUGAAAUCGCACGUAUUGCCCGUCUGGAUGCUUAUCUCGACACUAGGGAUGCUCGGCUACACUACCAGGAGCAGGUUCAAGUCUUGACCCCAAGUUCAUUGUCAAUCUCAACUUUACCUGAGGCGGUCACGCAGAACCAACAAGUGGCCGAAGCAGCUCUGCCGAGUGACGACAUUGAAGAAGGGACAGAAGAAUCUCGUUGUCCGACUUUGACGACAACUGAGUCCGUAGUGGCCGACCAACCGAACGAGGAGGGUCUUGACCAGAUGGGCCCAUCAGUCCUGGAUAAUAUGGAAAUCAGUAUGGUCCAUGUGUUACCUGCCGAUUUUCAAUCAAGCACGGCUCAACCAAAUUUCCUUGAUGGAGAUGUGGUUGCCGAUGAACCCGGCCAUGUUGAUUUCGUAUCGAUUGCUGAAGGCGAGUCAACAACAAAAGAUGAUAGUCUAAAGGCCGCUUUGGCCGAAUUGUUCCCUCGUUCAUCGUCGGCCAACCUUCACCAUUUAAAGCCACUGUAUGUGACGGCCCACAUCGAGGGAUAUCCAGUGUCUAAAGUUUUUGUCGAUUGUGGAGCUACCGUCAACAUCAUGCCUCUGAACAUCAUGAAGGCCUUACGCCGUUCGACUGACGAGCUUAUUCCGUCAGGGAUCACGAUGAGUAGUUUCGUCGGCGACAAAUCCCAAACCAAAGGUGUACUUCCGUUAACUGUGAAUAUUACCGGCCGCACCCACAUGACCGCCUUUUUCGUGGUUGAUUCCAAAAUCGAGUAUAAUGCACUGCUCGGCCGAGAUUGGAUUCAUCAAACCAGCUGUAUUCCUUCCUCGUUGUACCAAAUGCUUGUCUUUUGGGACGGUAAAUCGGUCACUGUUCAUCCGGCCGAUAGCCAGCCCUUCGAAGCUAACAUGAUUCAAGCACGGUAUUAUGAUGAUCACGUCGGCUACAUCACUUUGCAAGGCUUUAAUGAAGAGGGACGGCCGACUCGGAUUUCGGUUCAGAAAGUUAUCGAGGUUGGCGUCGAGACUGUCCAGCAGGAUUCGGCGAGACUCGGAUUAGCCAACUUCCUCCCCGAAGCUGAUGUUUGACACCGAUCGGGAAGCACGCAGGGCCGCGGUUUCAUCUACUAUGGAACGACUGCUGGCCCAUUGGUACACGAUAUCUAAACAACCAAAUUCGGGUGUCAACCUUGUCGAGCUUCUUGCUGAGGGAGAUAAUGGGCCUGUAUUAUCUUUUGAUAAAAUUCGAGCCGCCCCGGCCGAGCUCGAACAUCAUCAGCCCCUAGUUAAGGACCCUUUAGAAGAGAUUAAUGUUGGGACGGCCGAUGACCCACGGAUUUUGUUUAUUAGCGCCUUACUUCCCCAACAACUGAAAGGCGAGUUUCGUACUUUGCUUACAGAAUUCAAAGAUUGUUUUGCUUGGAGUUAUCAUGAAAUGCCCGGCUUAGAUCGUACUCUGGUCGAGCAUGAAUUACGCAUUAAGCCCGGAUUUAAACCUUUCCGUCAGCCACCUCGUCGAUUCUCAACCGAAGUACAACUCAGUAUCAAGGACGAACUAGUUCGGCUUUUGAAAGCCGGAUUCAUUCGGACAGCUCGAUAUGUCGAAUGGUUGGCGAAUAUCGUUCCUGUAUUAAAGAAAAAUGGUGCACUGCGCAUUUGCACCGAUUUUCGAAAUCUGAAUCUGGCAACUCCCAAAGAUGAGUACACAAUGCCGAUUUCAGAUCUGUUAAUUGAUGUCGCGGCGAAUCAUGCGAUCUUAUCCUUUAUGGAUGGACAUGCCGGGUACAACCAAAUAUUUAUUGCAGAAGCCGAUGUGCACAAAACUGCUUUCCGUUGCCCGGGGGCACUCGGCACUUACGAAUGGGUUGUCAUGCCAUUCGGCCUCAAGAAUGCCGGCGCCACGUACCAACGGGCGAUGAACACCAUCUUCCAUGAUUUAAUUGGUACCAUCGUCGAAGUUUACAUCGACGAUGUUGUCGUCAAAUCUAAACGUCGACAGACACAUCUGGACGAUCUUCGGCAGGCUUUCAUCCGCAUGCGUCGGCAUAACCUCAAGAUGAAUCCUGCCAAGUGUGCCUUCGGUGUAUCGGCCGGGAAUUUUCUUGGUUUCCUCGUACAUUACCGUGGGAUUGAAGUCGAUGAGAAUAAGGCACACGCAAUCAUUACUGCCCCACCCCCAACGACGAAGAAGCAGCUCCAGUCUUUACUCGGACAGAUCAAUUUUCUCCGCCGAUUUAUUGCCAACUCGGCAGGAAAAAUGAAAGCGUUUUCCACACUCUUAAAACUCAAGGACUCAGAUAAAUUUGUGUGGAACGACGAGCAUCAGGCGGCGUUUGCGCAAAUUAAAGUUUCCCUCACGAACCCACCUGUCUUGGUUCCUCCCCGGCGCGGUAAUCCUCUUAAGCUCUAUAUAUCGGCGGCCGAAGAGUCCAUCGGCUGCCUCCUCGCGCAAGAUAACGACGCCGGACGGGAACAGGCUAUUUUUUAUCUCAGCCGCAAUCUCAGUCAACCAGAGAUCAAUUAUCCAGCCGUCGAGAAGCUGUGCCUAGCCGUUUUUUCGCCGCUUCCAAGCUUCGGCAUUAUAUGCUCCCAUCGGUUACCCAGGUUAUUGCACAGACCGACGUCAUCCGCUACAUGCUCACCCGACCGAUCGUAAAGGGCCGCAUUGGGAAAUGGACCAUGGCACUGUCCGAGUUUAGCUUGCAAUAUGUAGCUCAGAAAGCCGUCAAGGGCCAAGCAUUGGCCGAUUUCCUUGCUCAACAUCCCUCCCCAUACGGUUUUGGGGGCAACGACGUUGACAUCGGCAUGGUGCAGACGCGUGACAAUCACUGGACGAUGUACUUUGACGGCUCCAGUACGUCAUCUUCGGCAGGUGUGGGAAUUGUCAUUCAAUCCCCGAAUCACGAUCGCUGGUUCUUUUCACUUAAGUUGGACUUUGACUGCACCAACAAUCAGGCCGAAUAUGAAGCCUUAAUCGUCGGCCUUGGAAUUCUCCAUGACCUGCGGGCAACCCGCGCCCUCGUUCUCGGUGACUCCGAGCUUGUUAACCAACUUAAUGGCUCCUUUCGUUGCAUGAGUUGUACCCUGGCACCUUACCAUAUGGUCGCCAGCUAUUUGGCCGAAUCCUUCGACAGUAUUACAUUUCAACAUAUUUCCCGGUGUCAUAAUACCGACGCGGAUGAAUUGGCUCAAAUUACCUCCGGCGCACAACUACUGGGGGGCAAACUAGGCCAAGAGAUAUCAAUGAUACGACAGUUAUACCCGGCCUUGGUUAACCAGCAAAUCCUCCGACGGGACGACGUGAUACGUACCAGGGUUAUGUCCUUACCUUCGUUGUUAGAUCGGCAGGACUCUGUCGAGGUUUGCACGACCGAGGUGAUACCGGAUGAUUGGAGAGCACCUAUUAUGCAAUACCUUGGCAAUCCUAACGGGAAACAUAAUCGCAGGACACGGGUUCACGCUACGAACUAUGUCAUGUACCAGAACGAGUUAUACCGAAAGGGUGAGGAUGGUUUGUUAUUGCUAUGCCUCGGCCCCCAAGAGAGUGCUCGGGCGAUCACAAAGGUUCAUGAAGGGGUAUGUGGAGCUCAUCAAUCCGGACGGAAAAUGCGGUGGCUACUCCGACAACACGGCUAUUUUUGGCCGAGAAUACUGAAGGAUUGUAUCGAGUUUGCACGAGGAUGCGUCCAGUGCCAAAUCCAUGGGCCUAUACAAAGGGCCACGGCCGAAUCACUACAUUCAGUCAUUAAGCCAUGGCCGUUUAGAGGAUGGGCCAUGGACGUAAUCGGCAAAAUCACGCCGACUUCUGGGGCUGCUAAGCAUGCAUGGAUAAUAGUCGCAACUGAUUACUUUACUAAGUGGGUUGAAGCAAAAUCAUAUGCCGAGUUAACAUCUAAAGAAGUUUACGCUUUCGUGGAGGAGCACAUUGUGACCCGGUUCGGUGUACCGGAGAUGAUCAUAACCGACAAUGGAACAAUUUUCACAGCCGAAAGGUUUAAAUAAUACACGGCAAAUUUGAAAAUUCGGCUGGAACAGUCCACACCAUAUUAUCCACAGGCGAAUGGGCAGGCCGAGGCAAGCAAUAAAGUGUUGAUUGGCAUCCUCGAAAAAAUAAUAAAAGAAAGGCCUGGCAUGUGGCAUUUGAAGUUGAACGAGGCAUUAUGGGCAUACCGAACGUCGCCCCGGUCGGCGACUGCGACAACCCCGUACGCAUUAACCUACGGGCACGAUGCAGUGCUACCAGUCGAGUUGAGCAUAAAUUCGUUGCGGUUAAUUGAACAAAGUAGUUUGUUUAGUGCCGAAUAUAAUCAGUCCAUGAGACAGGAACUAGAAGAUUUGGAAGAAGCGCGACUUGACGCUUAUAACUUAUUGGUGGCACAAAAACAGAUUGCCGAGCGAGCUUAUAAUCAAAAGGUACGACAGAAAACAUUCGGCGAAGGUGAAUUAGUGUGGCAAACGGUGUUGCCCGUAGGACUAAAAGAUCCUAGGUUCGGCAAGUGGUCGCCAAAUUGGGAAGGGCCGUUCAUUGUGCAUAAAGUAUACGGAAAAGGGGUGUAUCAUCUUAAAGACCGAACCGGUGUAGUACACAGAUUGCCGAUCAAUGGGAAGUUUUUAAAGAAAUACUAUCCGGUCACAUGGGAAAUGCGAGAAUAAACAAGAUUACUUCAUUAAGAUUGAUAGAGCGUUUACAAAAUGAGUAGGUCGAUUGGUUUAUAUAUCAUUCAAGGCGAAGAGGGGAGAAGAGUGCUGAGCAGGGCCUUCAACUCCAGCCAUCGCACGUCGGCCAUGAUAACUUCGGCCUGCCGAUUCUUUUUGUCCAGCUUCAGUCGCUCGACCCGUUUUGUAGUUGCCGCAUACUCAGUUAGGCGAUCCUUGCCGCCUGACUCGAAGUCUUUAGCAAGAUCGGAAGCAAUGGCCGACCGACGCUUUGCUAGUUCGGCCAUCUGACGGUCAAGCUCGGCUAGCGCCUCUCCUUUUGCCCGUAGAUCGUCGAUUUUCGGACGGAGGGUGUCUUGAACGGCCGUGGCGGCUUGCAGGUCCUGUUCGGCCUUUAGAGCGGUCUGGAAGAUACUAAAUGUCUCCCAAACACGCUCCAAGGCAGACGAUGCCCGAACUAUGGCAUCGCCGCUCAGGCGACCGUCGGCUCCAAGGUCGUUCAGACAGGCGCCAAGCAGAUCAAGACCUUUGCGCUCAAGUACUUGCGAUGUUGAAAGCGACAAGAUUUCUCGCAACUGGGUUAGGGCGCUUGGGUCGGCAGUUUCGGUCGUAGCGGCCGAAGGACCGGACUCUGCGGUUGUACUGGAGAUGAGGGCUUUGAAUUCAACCUCCCAUGAAGCAUGCACAUACAAACUAGGUUAAGUUUAAAAGAAGUCACGACAAGAAUAGCAAGAAGGUUUCGUUUUUAACCUGCCGAGAGGAGACCUCGGCCAUGUCUCCAGGAUCGUUGCUCGAACCUAAAGAACUCAAUGGCCGAGCCCAGUGUCUCAGAUUGCUUCUCAGUUCACGCAGUCGAUGGAGAUUAUCUACGUUUGAUGGCCACGGAGGCGGCCAAGAAAUAUAGAUAAUACCUUUCGGCGCGUAGAAUUGUCGGUGAAAAGAAGGUACAGGCACCUGACAUUUAGUAUUUUCCUUGUUUAGAAUUCUAAAGCAGAAAAGCAAUCAGGGAGAGAGUAGAAGGGACUUACGAAGGUCGAGGUAACCUCCUGUGGAGGGAUAUGGAAGCCCUGGUCUUGAGGAUGAACGGGCGAUUCCGCCGUCGCCUCGGGUUCCUCGAGCGGGCGUUUGCCACGGUCGGCUGUAGAUGGGCCGACUGGAACAACCGUUUCGGAGGAGGCAGGGACAUCCUAAUCCUGGGAAGAAGCGAGGGGUUCGGCCACCGCCGUCGGCUCCUCGACUGGGCGCUUUCCACGAUCAGUCGUUGAGGGGCCGGCUUGAACCACCAUCUCUGACCUUGGGGGAGGUUGCCGACGAGAGUGAGGGCGAUCUGCCAGCAGGACCUCGUCGCUCCCCUCACUCUCUUCUAGGAUGAAGACCGAGGGUUUGGAUUUUCAGGGGCUGCUCCCUUGGUCGCAGAGACCACCUUUUUUGGAAUGGGUGCCUCCUCGACGGAGGGAGGCACAACUGGUGUACCAGCCCCAGAGACAGGUCGCGGUCGAACUGUCUCUGCGGCCGGGGCGGAUUGUUUCUCGACCGAGGGUUGAACAACGGCAGGAGAAGGGGAAACACUGGGAGUUGUCGCCCCUGUAGUUUGACUGGGGAUGACAUGGAUCUCCCGUGCGCCCUUCUUUGCCAGUUGUUUUACCCGUUUGGCAGGCGGCGGAGGUUCGACGGCCGGCUCGGCCUCUUGGCGAGGUCGUUUGGUUGGCACGGCCCGCACAGCAGCUUUAUCCCUUUUAACCAGGGCCAAUUUUUUCUCGACCGUGGCCGCGGCAACAGCUUCCGUUUUUCUCGAAUGCCGAUUACCUGAGAAGAUAAAAACAAUUCAGUAAGGCAAAUCAAUAUGCAAGGUUGGAAGGAACCGGUGAUAAAUGAAAAUUACCUUGAGUUUGGGGAGCCGAGGCCUUCUUCGGACGGUCACCGAAGAGUUUGUUUAGCACCUCCUCGACCGGAGCACCAAAGAACUCCUGGAUGUAAUUUUCCCACCAUUCACCGAAGGUGUCAGUGCAAUGGGUUUCGGGGGUGGCUGGUCGAAGGCGGAAUUUUUGACAACGCUCUUGGAACUCCCUCACGGCAGUAUUACAUUCCUUCUCCGAGGAACGAGGUUCACGUCCACGGCUUAGGAUCGUUCGGGAGGAGAGAAGGGGGACGGGGCAGCCCUGAAGAUAGCCGAGUUGUCGGGCAAGGAAGUUCGGAUGAUAUACUUCCCAACCCGACCGUUUCCCGUCACAGCCGAGAGGGAGGUCGCGAACAAGCACAAACGACCCCCAGGUCUGACGAAGAUCAGCGUCCUCCUCUGCGCCCCAUGUAGAGGUAGGCAGCCUGAUGAAGGAAGGAUAGUCUCGACGACGACAUAUCAGGAACUCGUCGUUGGAGAAGUCGUCGAGAGCGAAGAGGUACCGAAAUACCUAUUCGGCUUGAUGGGGAGGUAUCGGUCGAGAGGCCAGCUGAGGUCCAAGCGCCUCCGUUGGUGUGAAGUCAGCUAUGGCCGGCCGAAGGGAGGCAAAGUACACUUGUAACCAGAGCUGGAAGACCCAGAGGGGACCAUUCUGGUGUGGGUCGACCUUGUGGAGGGUUGCUUCGGCCAGGCAACGGAAGAGUUGGGCGAGAAUGUUGGAACUCAGUGCCAGGACGUGACCACUGGCCAGGGCUUCAGCUACCGGCAUGUUCUCGACCAAACAUUUGUUUGACUUGGUACAACAAAUGUAUUUGUUGUACCAAUAGAAGAGGAAGACUUCAUGCUCUCCUUCUCGCAGGUCCUCCUUCGACGGGAUGUGACCAUCACGGCUCAGGGUCUCGAAGGCUCGACGGUCGAAAAGUGUUUUCAGAUCGAUAUUCGACGGGUGCCGAGAGAGAGUCGCGUCGACAGGGAUCCCGGUUGCCGAAGUCCCCAGAAUGGCGGUGAUAUCCAGGAUGGUGGGACCAAUGGGACCAAGAGGAAGAACCAUUGUGUUGGUGGCCGAGCACCAGAAGCACAGAGCGGCUAGGAGAAGCUCCUUGUCGAGGACGAUAUCCAUGGACGAGAGUAGGAUGGCGUCGUAGAUGCCGAGGGCCUUCCAUUGAUCGCCGAAGAGCCAUUCCAUUCGAACGACCCAGGUUGCCCAGCCAGGAGCCCUGGGGUUUCGCCGCGUCCCAUCGCGACCAUUCAAACCCUUGAAGCAAGGGUGUUAGGCAGUGCUCCUGAAGAAGGCCGGUGAUGGUCGGCGGUAUUGCAGCCUUGAAGAGAGGACCCAGGAUCUGGUGCUGAGUGCUCAUGUCAUUUUCAAACCGUAUAGUCUUGAUCGAGCUCCGAUCAAGAAUCUUCUGAUGCUGGUCAUAUUCCUUGGAAAGCUUGGAGAUGAAGGACGCCAUUAUAAGAAAGAAUCACGGCGUAAAAAGAUUUUCUGGGUUGGGGGUUUGAAGACGAAGACUUGGAAUAGAGGAAUGCACUAGAGAGCAAUGGCAAGGGAUUUCAGAAAAUUUUGGGAGCGUAAAGUACAAAUAAGAGAAUUUCGGUAUUUAUAGGGUUGUGGAGGGAAGAGCAAUCGUUCGAAAUUCAAAACAAAGGGCAAAAUCGACCGGAGGAAUCGUUGAUCAUGAUGAACAUUUGGGAAAUGUGAUUGAGAAGACUGACGGUUUUAGGUUUUGGGGGGCGCACGAUCGCGUGUGACGGCGAAAUUAAUGACGAAAGACGUUUCGACACCUGCAUGAUGACAGGUGGACUCGCGGAUUGAGGUAGUGGUUAAGUUCAGCCAUAAGGUCAUGAUGGCACGACGGUUCAGGCUGCCGCACGCCUUAGACGUCAUUAUUGGGGAUUGGCCAUGUUAGAAGACGCCACGUGGCGAGUGGUUUAGCAGGAUCAAGAUCGUGCGAUCGUGUUCAAUAAAUGCGCCUUGAAACUCGGGUAUUAGGAUUCUGAGUGGUAGAUUCGCUUCUUCAAGGCCGAAACUCGCCCGAAGGUUUCAGGCCGAGGACCUCAGAAGCGAGGGGGCAAUGUUUGGGCCCAAAAUAAUAGUUUGGGCCCAAAAUAAUAGUUUGGGCCGAGGGUAGAAUCACUCUCGGCCCGAGAAGCCGUGCGGCGAAAGGGUCAUGGAGCGUUCAGCUCAUGGGCUUCCAAGCCUAAGUCGGUUAAAUCAGAACGCAAGUCGAGUCUUAGUACAAUAGGGACUCUCGACGAGAUCAAUAAUCUAGAAAGCGAAUCCGGCUCAGUUAAGGACUAGAUUCGUAGUCCUAGCAGAGAUAGGACUGAUCGAGGGGAUGUUAAUCCGGAGAAGGAAACCUAGUCCGAAUAGGAUUGGAACUCGGGCUCGAUGUUCUGCUACUAUAAAUACAAGACAUUCAGCAACAGAGAGACCCCUGCAAAUCAAUACAAAAUUGCCCUGCGCAAACUCUCACAACUUGUGAUUUUUCUUUUUCCUUUUCGCUGACACAUCUUCCGUUGGCAUCAACAGCACUGUGGAAGCAACCGGUGAUAUCUUAAGUCGGCAUAGAUAGCUCUGUCACCGUAGAGUCAGUCGGUCUCGCAGUAUCUUCCGUUGGCAUCAACAGCACUGCGGCGAGAACGGUUGAUUGCCUAUCCCAGUCUCGGUCGAGAAGGGUUCUAAAUCCUUAUUGGUCGAGGUCAUCUCAUCAGCUUUCUCGGCGAAGUGAGGUGUUACAGUUAUUACAUUCGGCACAUUGAAAGCCGAAUUUGAUAUUGAACUUCGUAAGAAUAGUAACCUUGUCUUCAGGUUCGAGAGCCCAAGAGGCCGAGACAUGUUCCUUUCUCGGCCGCAAUCGCAAGACGCAGAAGUCAGUAGCGCGACCCAACGCAACAUCAACAAAUUUACUCCUCGGCCGAGCUCGGCGGACGAGUUGGCACGCCCCGCAUUCACCGAAUGACGUAGUUAGCUCAGUAAUUACUCGGCCUGCGCGCCACGUAGGCUUUGUAGUUUCUAGGGUCAACAGAACCAUAUAUGAAAAGGAAAUCAAUAUCCAACCAGAAUCGUUGAUAGUUUACUAUAUCAAGAAAGAAAAUUAAUAUAAAAACCAUAUAUGAAAAGAAAAUCAAUAUCGAAAAUCAAAAUCAUUGAUAAUUUACUGUAUCAAAAAAGAAAAUCAAUAUUAAGAAUCAUACAUGAAAAUAAAUCAAUAUCGAAAACCAAAAUCGUCGAUAAUUUACUAUAUCAAGAAAGAAAAUUGAUAUAUAUCAAGAAAGAGAAUCAUAUAUGGAAAAAAUCAAUAUUGAAAACCAAAAACGUUGAUAAUUUUCCUUUAACUUUCUUUUAAUUGAGCCACAAGUAACUCAACAAAAAGUUCUGCUGAUCUCUAAUUAAUCCCUUUAUGUCAUAAACUGAUUAAUUAAUCAAGAUAUCGCUAUCAAAACAAAAGUUCAUAAUUCCUUUCCAAAGAUUUUCAUUUCACCAGUUUAUGAUAGAAACUUAAUAGUUAGAAGAGCCGGCUAAUUAGAACCAGUGAGUAUGUAUUCAGUUUUAAUAAUCCAAAUGACAAUUAAAGUAAACACGAAAACGAUAAUAAAUUUUAUGUUGUACUGAAACAUUGACGCGUUAUAUCCCUAAUAUCAGGUGUUAUAAUAAAUUUUACAUCCAUUAACUCAUAUUACAACACAUAAAUUGGUUCUACAGAACCUAAUUACUCUAAUUAGGGCAAAUUCUUAGAGUGGUGCACUAAAGACUGACUGACAAAGUCAAAGCGACGGGCAGGGUCGAAGUACCAGUCAAGCUGCGGUAUGUACGUGUUGAACGGGUGUAAAAACACCAGGUCCGUUGAGCCACUCAGGCAUCGUACAUUUGUGAUUGCUUGAUGCUCUCCGACUCGGCCUCGCACGAAACGAUUCGUUGGCACUACCUCCACGGAGGCGUAUUGGAAGAAACAAAGGGAUCGGUUGGGGUUAGGUACGGUUGGGACCCACAACAGUUGCGUAGCGAGAGAUUUUUAAGUGUAAUCCGCAUACAUGAUGGUAUACCACGUGUCGUUAUAUAAAUGGUAUGAUAUUAGUGUUAAAAAGUUAAUAAUUUAAAAAAAUAUUUUACAUUAAGAGAAGGGAGGAUUCGGCUAAGCUACACAAUGGACAACCUAAUGUGGUAUCGAAUUUACCAUCUACGAAAUUCGAACCUAAAACCUCACUUACAAGUGAAAAGAAAUAGUACCAGACCAUAAUACUAAGUAGCAUUAAAUUAUUAGGUUAACUUCGAUAAUUAUAUGAUUAACGGAAAAUGAUAACAUGUUUAAGACGAUCUUUGUAGAAUUAUUUGUAGUUAUAUGCGUAUACAUGUCUAGUAUGUGUUCUUUAUACAGCCAAGCUUAACUGGUAGUUUGUAAAUACAUAACAUUUGCGUAGCCCUAAGAUUUUGGGGCUCGGUGCGAGACUCAAACAGAAAACCUUCUAAGGUCCAAACUUUUAGUUGUUAUAUUUUUUUUUAUUGUGUGUAGAUUAAUACAAUGGCAAAGAAAUAAAUAAAAGGCCAAAAAAAUUUCGUGAUCCUUAUGGUGAUACCCUACUUUUAAAUAGACCCCUGUGGUGAAAACACUAUUAAUUGUAGGGAUGUGAUAUUCACAUACGCCUUUUUACUUCUCUCACACUCUUUUAAUUUUCGGUCGUUGGAUUGGAUGAAUUGAAGGAGAUCAAAUGAUAGAAAUUAACAAGGGAUGUGGGGGAAGUAAAAAGGGGAGUGUGGAUAGCACACCCCUUAAUUGUAAUCUUGUGGUGAAAUUUGUUAUCAAUCAUAGUCCAAAUUGGAUUUUUCCUCAUUCUUCUGUCAUUUGUAGGGGCAAAAUUGUUAUAUUCGUUUUUAUUGAUUCCAUCAAUCAAUCAUAAAGCGCCAUAUGGACAUAAAAAUUUUUAUUUUUAAAAAUGUGGGAGCUACAAUAAAAGAAUAAAUAAACAAUAAAAUUACAAGAUUCAUAUUAUCAGACUUUCUCAUUUCAAGAGAGCCAAGAGUCCAAAUUCAAGAUUUAAAAAAUCACAAAGUACCUCGCUGCGUUUAGGUUAGAAUAUAAGUUCUUAUGCAAACAUUGAAUUUAGUUUCAUUUUAAGAAGAAUAGUGGUGGAUGGGAUGGCUAGGGUUAUGUGAGAGAGAGAAGGGGGAAAGUGAUGGGUGAUCGUUGUGGCUGUGGCUGACAAGGGUAGGGAUUGGGGAGGGAUUUUUUUUUCUUCUAUUUUUGUUGAUUAUAAAAAAAUGGAAUUACCAAAAAGAAAAUAAAAAAGAAUGGAAUGACCUUUUUACCCCUGCAUGUGGAUGAGAUUUUGACAAAAAAAUCAAUUUGGACUACGAUUGAUAAUGAACUUCACCACAGGGUUAAGAUUAACACUUUUUUUCAGCAUAGGGGUCGAUUUAAAAGCACUGUUCUAAAAAUCCCCGCCUAGCUCCGCCUAGGCCCUGCCUAGGCACUAGGCCUCAGCCCACCGCCCCGAUUAAUGCCUAGGCCCCAGCCCACCGCCCUGAUUAAUGCCUAGGCCCCAGCCCACCGCCUAGACCACCUAGGCACCCGCCUAGCCCGCCUAGGCACCCGCCUAGGUUGCAACUCACUUAGACAGAAAAUACAUAACUUUCAUUUUGCAUUUUGUUUUUUUCCAAUAAAUUGUAAGAGACUUGUUGCAUACUUGAAUGAACAAACAUUAUAUCCUUAUUUCACAUGUUUUCAUUAUGUUCCAAUACUUCAUGAUAUAUAUGCAUUGUAUUUUGUAGUUUAUGAUGAAAUUAUAUAUAUUUCAAGUAGAAGCAGACACUUAUUUACAUAAAAUAUGAUAGAUUUACUUAAAUCCGCCUAGUCCGCCUAGGCGUCCGCCUAGCCGCCUAGGCCCUAGGCCCCAACCCACUGCCCGACUAGUGCCUAGCGAUUUUUAGAACCUUGUUUAAAAGUAAUGUCUUACCACAGGGAUCAUGAAAAAAAUUUAGCCUAAAUAAAAAUAGCAUGGCGUGGUCUAGGUACCUACAUGCAUUUCCUAUGUUUUUGGGUUCAAUACGCCUUGCUUUUUUUUUUUUUUUGAACAAACGAUAUUAUUAACAUUAAGGAAGAAGGAUGGGUUUAGCCUCACAAUGGGCUUGCAAUAAUGUGGUUCAAAUUUGUUUUUGACGAAAAUCGAACUUAAAUCCUCUCACUUACAAGUAAAAAAGAAUACUAUUAAACUGUAGUACUAAGUGGCCGAAACGUCUUGCUUUUAAAUACAAUUUUUUUUAAAGUAAAUAUAAAAGGAUGUGCCCUAGGAGGUACUUGAACCCAAUUGAAGUUACAAAGAUUAAAAGAAAAACUAAUGAAAAUAGUUUAAAAACUUUGAGUUUUAACUAUAAGGACAAAAUAAAGGAUAAAGUGAAUAGUACCAUGAUUAACUUUUUAGUGUAAAAAUAUGAUUUUUCCGUUAAAGUGAACAGUACCAUAAGUUUUUCGUUAAAUUCCCAAUAUAAAAAGCAUGAAAACACUUACACUAAGAACUUAAUUUGAUUAAUUGAUGCUCCUUUAGGCAUAUACUUUAUAAAGACGUAAAAUAAUAUAAUAAAUUGGGAGCCUUCCGAAUAAGGAGCUUUUCGCGGUGGCACAACCUCAGAGCCGACUCACUUGCGUAUAGCAUAUAGCAUAUUCAUAUGCGUGUUGCAUGUUGAUGUCAAGUACUAUUAUUUUGCGUUAUCAUAAUAUUGAUGCCAAUCAUUUGAAAUUACAUGUAACAGUGGUUAAUUAUCUCAAAAUAAUAGUGAUGAACACCAAUUAAGAUUUAUAGUAAGGGAAUAGGAAACUGCGUGUGAACAUUGAAGUCCUGGUUCAAAGUAGUUUAGAGUCUUUAGACCACUGUUGUUAAUCAGUAUAUAUUGUUUGUUAUUAUUUAGCUGACGUAUAUACAUACAUAUGCCUGAAGUGAUGGUUUAUAAUAAUAUAUAUAUACACACAGAGGAUCAUGAGUAGGCAUAGUCAACGCACGCAUUCACAAUUAACGGUGAGUUUCAGCUGAAGGAAUCGGCAAGACUUGACAAUGCGUCGGUCUAUAUAUUCUGAAGACAAUCAUAUUUGUACAGAUGGAGUGAGAUUUAAAAAAGAAAGGGGGAAGUGGAGUUUCUUUCUUCCAAAUAAAAGUAAAUAAUAAAUAAAUGUUCAAUGCCAAACGUUGUAUAUAUAGGUCUAAUAUGUACGGAAAUAUUGAAUUGAAUAUAUGACGAUAUGAGACUGGUAUUCUCUGCAAAAGUCAAAAAUGAACAUAUUCUGUUGAUGGACUUUGUAUAUAGCGAUAGCGUGUCUGUCUUGCCUUCUUUUUGUUUUGAAUCUGUAAUUUUCUAGUAUCUUCUCUUCUGUAGUGAUGUCUAUGCUACACGAUGCGAUGACUUUUCCCCUCCAGCCAGCCGAUUCCAGAUUGUACGCCGUAAAAUCCACCUGCGUAUGGGCAAAAAUAAAUAUUAAUUUUAGCUGCCAUUCAUGCAGUAGAGAAUUUCACAAAGUACAAACCCUAAAUAUUAAUAACUUGCGUCUUAAGCAGAUGGCAAAGAAAAAUAGAAGAGAUUUUUCGUCGAAGAUGGAAGUGAUUUUCACAAUCCUUAAUCAAAGUAUAGCAAGUUAUACACUCUUACAAUAUUCAAAAUGAGAUUAGCACUAGGCUCAAACGAAUCAUAAAGAUUAGCUCAAAUAUUGUGUUUAAUUAAGAUUUUAAUUUGAGCUCCAGAAGAGAUAGAGGAAUCAAAAACAAAAUAGAAGGAAGAAAUAGUUGUUUCUAUAAAGGGGAGAUCGACAUGACCUGAGCUAUCUGGGAGUGGAGUCGGCUAGGAAACAAAACUAAAACUCACCUAUAGUAUUUACUUUCCUGAACUAAUUAUAGGGAUGAAGACCAAAAAACAAAUGGGGAAAGUAUGUUCCUUUUUAUUGUAAAAUAAAAUAACAAUAAUUACAAGAUCCUUCAAAGACAAUGACUUGCUUCAUCGAUCAAUAAAUUCAAUAAACACUACCGUGGAUAAUCUUGGCACCUAUGUUCAGUAUUUUCUAUGUUUUAUAUGAAGAUCCGUAUCAAGCUGGACAAAUUCAAAAGUAGUUAUGUACCCUGGUCUAGUCUGGUGUGUGUUCUAAUUUCCAAUUACCAAAUAAAGAGCAUGGAAUCGAAUUACAAGAACGACACAAUUUCAUACUAUACAAAAUGCAUGCCCAAACAAAAAUGAAUGUUUUUCCGUUGGGAUCCAUUCCUUGGCAGCGUCAGCUGUCAUUUUUUAUUGGCUAUUAAUUAAAUAGGAAUGUGGUUUUCAAAGCUUUGUUUAACUUGAACCCGAGUUGAACGAGCAACAUGUACCAAGUUCUUUAUCAGCGGCGCCGUCCCUCCUCUCUAAUUUAUAACUUUAGUCGUAUACCGUACUCAGUAUUUGAUGUUGCUUUUGUAUCAAUAUUUAUAUGCAACAAGUCUUUAUUAACGUUCUAUUCACUUUUGCCUCUUGAUUCUUUUUUUAUAUAUUCAAUGUAACGGUUAGAUGUAAAAUAAAAGUAUGUGGGUAGAAAAAAAUGAUGGGUGAAUUAUAUACAUAUAAAAUGAGAAUAUUAAAUGUUGAAUGUGCCACAAGAUCGAGGGGUUUUCACAAUAUUAAUUUUUAGUUUCGUUUUAGAUUGUGAACUCGCUGGGGGACCACUCAACUAAUCUCUCUCUGGUUGGUCAGAUUAUUGAGGACAUCAAAGCGCUGCUUCCUACAAUCAUUGAGGCUUCUUUUACUCAUUUUCCGUUGCCAAGCUAACGAAAUUGCCUACAAACUUGCUGGAUACAGUCUUACAGUUAAUCAUGAUUGUAUUUGGAUUGAAUCCCCUCCGGACUUAACUCUAGAUGUUCUCAUUGAGGAUGCUCCUCUGCCAUAAUUGGCCUUUGUAAUGAUCUUUUGCUCAUGAAGAUGAAUCAACUAUCGUUUCAUUAAGUCAUUCAGUACUAUGAUUUAAUGUUAUUUCUCUUUAAUUGAAAGUGAGAGAUAUUGGAUUCGAAUAUCGUGGAUGACGAAUUCGAUACCAAAUUAGGCUGCCCAUUGUGUAGCUUAGCCGAACUCUCUCUUAUCUUAGUAUAAAAAUAUCGAUGUACUAAAAAAACUAUCAUUUCAUUAAAAAAAGAGAAAAUAUAAGUGGAAACUUUCCCAUUUUACUAAAUUAUAUUUUAUAGAAGAAUUAUGAAAAUAAACAAUGACGAUAUUAGUGAUGCAUGCAUAAUCCUAGGCUCCUACCUAUCAAUCUUUUUUCCUUGGUGGAGUAGGUGAGAUUAAAGACUAGUUAAUAGACGAUAUUAUCUUAGCUAAGCUGACAUUAACAGCUUUAUUGUAUAAUAGAGCUAUGACACAUUCAAUGAGGAGGAUGACUUGAGCGUAUAGGUAAGCAGUCUAAAUUUCAACCAUAUACUAAAGAGCUUUGUGAGUUUUCUUACGAAGAUUACUCUUUCCAUAUAUAAUAAUUAAGUACUCAGCAACCUAUUAGUAAUGUCCAUAUACUUGGAAAUCCCUCGAACCAUAGUAGUUUAACACUUUGGCUUAGGAUGUUAAUGUUUUUAUUCGAAUUUAAUAAUAUUUGCAUUUCGACAAAAUAAAAUAAUAUUAAAAUAAAAUAAUCCAUCCAACUAAAAGCUGAUUCUCCUCACUUAUCGUUUCUAGAGUUCAAAUCUUCUACACUUAGUUUGUAUGUAGUCUUCCUAGGCCUCUAUAAUGACAUGAUCAUAAACUUAAUCGAUAUUAAUUAUGUUGUCAUAAACUUAAUAUGUGUCAAUUAAUAAUAGAGACUAAUGUAACAUACAAAAUGAUGCAGAAUGUUUCAGCUUCUGUUUCUAUUCUUUCUCAAUUAUUUAGUUGAAGCCAUCAACGCCUCGGUAAGAAUGGCAUUCCCAUUGGUCUGACUUUUAUUUGGAUCACGUCAGAAUAUGAAAUUAGGGUUUUUUUUUUUUUUUUUUUUUUUUUUACAAUUAAAAGCUUUUUUAGCUAUAUUUGACGUAGAAGCGCUUCUAGGUUAUAAGGCUUUUUUUUGGAGAAGAACCAUACAUGUUUUUCUUCACAAAGCACUUACAAGUGUUUAAAAAAGAAAAAAAAUCACUUGGAUUUUUAAUAAAAAUAUUUUUAGGAAAAAUAUAGAAGAUUGUUUUGAAAUAGUUGAAAGCGAUUUUUGACAACGUAAAACGCUUUUGACAUAAAAAUAAGAAAUUGCUACUAGUUCAUAAAAACGAUUUUGAUUGAAUUUGGCAUUAAAAUAUGAAAGUGCUACAAGUUCAUAAAUUGCUUCUUCACGAAGCUUCAACGUGUUUGUACUAACAACCCUUGAAGCAAAAAUGCUUGAACACAAAUAUUUCCUACAAAACAAUACGCAAAAUCACUUCGAAUCGUUUCAGCUCAAAAAAACAAAAAAACAAAAAGACGCGAGACCCACUAUGUGCUGCCCUAGGGUUAUGCGAUGCAAUGCAUUGUCUUCAGCUUAGGCUUGAUCGAGAAUCGAGAAUCGAGAUAGAGUAUGCCAUGAUGGACCAAAUUGCAGGCCUCACGAAAUUAUAACCCAGUUCAUAGAUAGGCCCCAGCUCGACCUCUCCCGAGUGCACCCAGUUGGGUCAGUCCAGGCCCAUAUGAACUCAGAAUUCAAAGUUAGCAAGGAACUGUCCAGAUCAAUUCUGCAAAACCCAAAAGGUCAUUGAUUAGACAAGGUGGACCUUUUGCCAGCAGUGAGAAUCAUUAUGGCUUCUGUAAUUUUCAAAAGUGAUUCCUAUACAUCCACUGUCCAAGAAACCUAAUAACCACGAUUUCAAUUUGCAACAUCCCACGCAAACAAAUUAUCAAAUAAAAAAAGAAGUAAUUUUCACGCACAAUUUCUUUCUUAAUUUACAUACUGAUGUAUUUUUGCCGAUUUAAUUAAAUAAAUCAAAUAAAAUCAAUAAACGAAAAGAAAUAAAAGUGUGUAUAAGUAGGAAAUGACAUUAAAAAUUACCUAGAAGAAACAAAAUAAAAAAAGGAUGUGCAUUUUCGUGUUUCAAGUUUAGGACUGUUUGUUUUUGGUGAAUAAAGAAGCAAUGUGUUCUUUGGGAUUUGCGCAUGCGAGGCCAAAAUAUUAGGUGCCAAGUGCGAACCAGGAGGGGGGAGAGAGGAGAGGGGUCGUAGAUUCCAAGAACCAUGCGUUGUUCACCACCCAGGCAUAAUGCAUUUCAAAUUUGAAGGCUUGAACCUCCUAUUAAUCUAUGAAGUUGUAGCUUUCAGAUGGGUCAGCCAUCCCCAUCUGCAUGCCCAUGGGCCAUAUCUGUGCCCCAGCGGUUCCGAGCGGCUUUUCUUGUAUAGAGAAAAUCUUUCAUGCAUCCGAGAUCCAACGAAGAAAUUUUAUGUUAAUCACAAAUUAACACGUGAAAAAAAUUAUAACAUAUAACAUUGACAGUGUAAGUAAGUUUCUCUUAUGACCUAAAGCCAGACAUCGCUGUCUCCUAUCGCAUCCCAUACAGCCCUAAAAUGCACAUCUUUGAAAGCAAGAAAAGGGCUUUGGUCACGGUCGUAGUCACUGUACCCUCUAACUUUAAUCAAUUAGCUAUAUGCAUGGCAGCAUGGCAUAUUAUGAAUUUAUGAUGAAAGACAAACGUACGUGAUUACUUAUCUUUCAGUUUCCUUCAAGUUUCAGCUUUUGCCAUUCUCAGGAAAUGACCAAAACCUAUUUACCACGAUGAUUCGCUUCGCAAGUUAUGUCAAGAAUUGGCAUGCAGUAUGCACUACUACUAAACGGUUCCAUUUCCAAAAGCACUUUUAAUUUCAAACGUAUAAAAAACAGGUUGGUGGAUUCGUUGUACGUUCAAUUAACGCCAGCGGUAAGCUUAUCAAAUACUACUAUUGUGUUAAAAAGGAGGAAAACUUCUGACUACUUUAUUCAUGACACCUCUUAUAAAAAUACGAAAUUGUUUGUAUUUUAAUUUUACUUGACGAUUCUAAUUAAUGCGAGAGUUGCCCGGUAUGACAUUGUUACUAAAAAUUUAAAGAAAAAUUAAUGAAAAUAGUUUGAAAACUUUGAGUUUUAACGAUAAAGACAAAAUAAAGGGUAAAUGAGUAUCAUCCCCGGCAGCCAUUGGGCUUCUAAAUAGAUAUCAUCUUAUUCUAAACUUUUCUAUCUUCAUUUUGAUAUAUUAUGUGUCAAAUUAGGUUAAGAAACGAUUGAGUUACGAAGUUUUGAAAAUUGCCCAAACUUCUGAUCAAAAGCUCCAGACACUUAACAGAAUGACCAAAAUGAUGGAUGGUGGACAAUCUCAGGGACCACUUUUAUCAAUUUGAAAUGUUAGGGACCAAAGUGAUGAGUUAUGCAAAUCUCAGAGACCGUUUUGGCUAUUUAGCCAACAUUUUAUAAUUCUUUUCUCACUAACUUGGUCUCAAUUCUGUACAACUUAGAAAGACCAUCACACAAGUGUGUGUGUAUCAGGUCCUUUAAACAGAGAGAUUCCUAUAUUUAAAAAAAAAAAAAAAAGAGGACAUCAUCUUGACCGUUAGAUUGACUUUAAUGAAAUUAUGUGGUUGAGAUUAAAUCACAUGUCACACAAUCUUAACCAUACAAUUUCAUUAAAGUCAAAUCUAAGUCAAGAGGGUGAAUGAUGAUCCCUCUUGUUAAAGGAUAUAUAUAUUACAGUUCAUCACAGAAAUACAGCUAUACAGUUUUACGGAUUCAGGUAAUCUUCAAAGGACACGAAAAAAAGAUUUGAAGUGGGGAGUGAGAAGACUCAUGGGCCAUGCAUGUCAUUAAAGAUAAACAAUAAUUACAACUUCAUCGAUUAGUUUGGCAAGGGAAAGCAAUAUUACGGAUUCCAGGUGCUUGCUGUGAAAAGUGAAUAUACACGUAGAGUAAUGCUAGAAAUAUUAAUAUUUAGAUAAAAUUUGUAAAUUAAAUGAUGCGUCGCUAAUAAGAAUGAGUGCGUUUAUUAAUGCUUAAGUAAUAUUCAAUCAUCAAUUUAAAUAUUAUCUAAUUUAUAAAAUUUUAUUUACAAUAUAUAGAGUAAAUUGUAGCAAUGGUCCCUGAACUUUACUCAAAUUGGAGCAAUAGUCCCUCAACUAAAAAUCCAUUACCAUUGGUCCCUCAACUUAUCAAAAUAUGUAGCUAUAGUCAUUUUCAUUAAUUUCUUCAAAUUUUUGUCAAAAUAUGUUAUGUUGGAAUAACCAUUUAUUUAAUUAGGAUCCCUCAACUCAUCAAAGUGUGUAAUUAUGGUCAUUUUUGUCAACUACUUAAAAAAAUUUGUCAAAACGAGUUAUAUUUGAAGGACCAUAGCUACAAUUGGGAUAAAGUUAAGGGACCAUUUCUCCAGUUGAAUUAAAAUUAAGGGACCAAAGGUAAUGAGUUUUUAGUUGAGGGACCAUAGCUGCACGUUUUAAUGAGUUGAAGGACCAAUAGUAAUGGAUUUUUAGUUGAAUGACCAUUGCUCCAAUUUAAGUAAAGUUCAGGGACCAUAGCUACAAUUUACUCCAAUAUAUAUCAUCACAUGCCGCUAAAAACUGAAAUAUCACCGACUUCGAGUAAUGUUUUCAUUCGAUAACAUCAGUCAAACACGUGUAUAUAUAGUAGUUAAGCUUUCAAUCCUUUAAAUGUUCAAAAGUUUACAUUUUACAUCAAACACAGUUGGUUGAUAUACAUGCAUUAUUAGUAUCGCUAAAGAUCGAUCGUAUUCGAAAAGUCUUCGUCUACACGUACACACACUGCAUACAUAAUCUAGCCUCUUAAUCGAUUUGCAUUUAUGUUGAAAGGGAAAUUAAGUAUACAUACAUACAUACAUACAUACAUACAAAAUAUAUAUAUAUAUAUAUAUAUGAGGAAAGUUAAUAUAUUUUUUUGCCUUUCAAAUCUGUUGUGCUGUUUUGAGAUAAUAUAGAUACAAAACAGCUCGAAAACUCACCGACUCGACAUGCAUACUUUUUAUGAAAAAUAUUUUUCUUUUGGUCAAACCUUUUAUGCAAAAUAUAAACCUCCUAAUGACAUGCAUGUAAACCGAUUUACAUAUGUGUGUAUAUACAUGAUAUGGUGUUAAAUAGUACGCAAAUGCCUUGUUUGGUAGAGAGUAUUAGCUUGGCUAUGACUAUUAUAUAUUGAAAGCAAUUUGAAGGAAUAAAUCGAUGACAAUUUUUAUAUGUUGUCUAAGUUGAAGGCCAUUUAUGAAGAAACAAUAUUCGUACUAAUCUUCACAAAAAGGUAUUGCACUAAAACAUUCAACUCUUAUUCAUAAACCUUUAAUUUGGACAAAAUAAGAAAAGUUGUCAUUGAUUUCUUUCUUCAACAUGCCUUUAAUAUAGUAAAUAAUUCUACCAAACCGGCCAAUUCUAUCUAACAAACCAGGCCAAACAGUACAGACAAACACAAAUUCAUACAUAGUUUGGCAUGCAAGUAAACAAACUUGUCAGUUUCUAAUGGAUGAGGAUGAAGUCUAGUUAACAACCACACACAGUUUAUUCAUCAGGGUUGACAAUUUUUCAUUUUAAUUAAAUUAUAAUUUUUUUUAUAAGAUGAAUACAGCAAAUGUUAGGGCACACACCAAUGCACAUUGCUUUUGAAAUAAGACACCAAACCUAUCAGCCAUACACAUGUCGCAACCAGCUAGCUAGAGUUUUCAGUUCUAUAUAUACCAUCAAAAUCUAUAAAAACCCGAGAGUUAUCUUCGAAGUCCAAAUUUGUACAUAUACAACCUAACUCCACAAAUUAAGGGCAUCUUUAAUGAAAAAAAAAUGCAAAUUUGAGAUACAAAAAUUAUUACUACACCUCAUCUUACAUUUUCGACAUAUAUAAAUGAAAAUUCUACUAUAAUGUGAGGGAUUUAAAUUUGAGGUUGCAUUUAAGUUUAAGUCUUUUAUAUAUCAAUUAAUUUUGCGUUGGCGAAUUAAAAAACUUUAAAGUUACACAAAGUUAUCUUUUGCUAAUUAAAUUAAUUUCAAGCUGAAAUCUCAUCAAAUUCCUUCGUCGAUUAUUCACGUGUUAGAGUUAAACAAUAUCUUACAUGUGGGGUUUAGGGGACUCUAAACAUUAAGAAUUAAGGAACCUCAUGAUAGUUUAUAAGAAAGUGAUCCUCUUAUGUAACGAAAUAAUUUUAGAAUGAAACCUCAACUACUUAUGAACAUCCUCAUUCAUUUUUUACUCCACGUGCUUCUGGCUAGCUCUUUUGAGAAGUUUUCCGAAUGCACCAUGAUAUCGUGAUUGCAUCUUCAUGUUCUAUACUAUAUAGAGUUGUGGUAAAAAUCUUGUAAGUCUUUAACACAUGUUUGGGACACUAAAAGUGUUUCCAUAAUCAUGACAAGCAUAUGGGCACACACAAAGUGUGUGAGAAAUUUUUUUAUUUUUGUUUUUGAAAUAGAAGGAGAGAGGAAGAGAUAUAUAGCGAAUGUGGGAGUAGGAAGUUUUUUUUUUUUUUUAAUUAGAGAUAUGUUAGGAUUACAUAUGGGUGAUGUUUUGAAAAAAAAAAAACAGCAAAAUUUGGUUGUGUGAAAUUACAUUUUGCCUCAUAUUUCUUAUUCAUGUUAUGUUUUAAUUAGAAUGUUAAACUGGUAAUUUCAUAGGAUUUUGGUUGACAAUUAUUGUUUUAUUAAUCAGUAGAUAUUAGAGUUAUUAUGUCAAUCGGCCUGGCUUGCAACUCAUGGUGAACCACAAACAUCAAAACUCAUUCGCGAAAAAGCGCACAAAUUUGUUGCAAGUCCACGCAGCCAUCAUGAUAACCUCUCGUCUUAAAAACCUAAUAAGUAAUUUCAUUUAACUUAAUUAUAGUUUUGUACAAGGGUAAUAUUAGAUAAACCAUCUAUUUAAACUAUGUUAAUAAUUAAAUUAUGAUCACUUAAGUGUUGAUUAACGUAAUUAUGUUUUAGUGACACUCACAUAAAUUGCAAGUUUGAUUUAAAAAAUUGAUCUAACUAGCAUUGCCCAUCUCUAUAAUUGUGUGUUCUAAGUAAUGUAAAUUAUUAAAUAAAUGAUCAUAUAAUUUCAGUUUAAUUAAUAUCCAAGUUCCAACAUUUACGUAUUAUAGAAAAUUACUAGAAGUUCGCCAUCAUUCUAAAAGAUUUAGUCAAAUACACGUUAUCAUAAAAGAUGCUGUAUGUAGUGAAGUGAGUUCAUCAACUAACUGAAAAUCAUGAAUUAAUACUUUUUACUUGAUAAACCUAGGACGGAUAGUCAUCAAAAUAUUAUUUUUGUCACUGUGUCAUAUUACAUGGUCCUAAACAAGAACAAUUAAGGGGUGGUUUGGGAGUGAGGUGCUUAAAAAAAAAGCACCCAUGAAAAAAAACUGUGAGGGUUUUAGGUGUUUGGUAAACUGAAAAAAAAGGGCUUAUUUUGGAAGCUGCUGUGAGAAUAAGCUGAAAUCAAAGGAAAAAGUUGAAGCUGCUAUUUGCAGCUUUGGAAAACUAGCUUUUUUUCAAAGCACACAGAGCUACAGUGCUUCUUUAAUGAAAAGACCCACUAUCAGACUGCUUUUUUUUUCAAAAGCACUUUUACAAAAAAGUUUACCAAACACUCUGCUGAUUUAUUUCACAUCCGCUUAUUUUCACAGCAGUUUUUUUUCAAAGCACAACAAUACCAAACCAGCCCUAAAUAUAGCAGGCAGACUAUUAGAACCUACUUAAUUAACAUUUUUGUAACGUGGCAUGAUCUGAUUAAUCUACGUCAAUAAGUUUUGUACAAAUAAUCUCUGAAAAUUGUGUCGUACAAGGACAAACACCAUCUUUUGCAAAUUUCAAAACUGCAGUUAGGGUGCUAAACAACUCAGCAUGUUGGAUUAACAAUGAGCUUAUGGAAAAGCAUCAUCUUUUUUCUGGGGAUCCUAGGGAUCCUGCAAUUAUGAUUGUUUAUUGUACAUCAUGCGGUAAAAAAUAAUUUCAAAUUUUAAAAUUUAAAAUUAAAUAUAAAUAGUACCUAACGAUUUUUGAUUACACGAUGUACGAUAAACGAUCACGAUCAUGAAAUUCCUAUAAUCUCUAAGAAAAGGAUCCUUGAAUACUGAGGAAACAAACAAUAUCUAUUAUAUGAGUUCCACUUCAAUGCUUGUAGUAUUAAAUGUUACGAGCAAUGAAUGAUUUGAAUUUACGAAACUAUACUAUACAGAGUUUAAAUAGAAGCAUUACACGCAUCGUCUUGUUGUAUACUACUAUACUCAGUUGUGGUAAAACCUUGUAAGUCUUUAACACAUGUUUGGGACAUAAUCAUGAUUAGAGUUAUUAUGUGAAUCGGCCUGGCUUGCAAUUCACGGUGAACCACAAACAUCAAAACUCAUUCGCGAAAAAGCGCACAAAUUUGUUGCAAGUCCACGCAGCCAUCAUGAUAACCUCUCUUGUCUUAAAACCCUAAUAAGUAAUUCCAUUUAACUUAAUUAUAGUUUUGUAUAAGAGUAAUAUUAGAUAAAUCAUCUAUUUAAACUAUGUUAAUGAUUGGAUUAUGAUCACUUAAGUAUUGAUUAAGGUAAUAUUUUCUAUUAGUGACAUUCGCAUAAGUUGCAAAUUUAGUCUAAACAAUUGAUCUAACUAGCAUUACUCUUUUGAAUAAUCAUGUAUUUUAAGUAAUGUAAAAUAUUAAAUAAACGAUGGAUGCAUUCAUGUCAUAUAAUUUCAGUUUAAUUAAUCUCCAAGUUCCAACAUUUACGAUAUUAUAUACUAGAAGUUCGUCAUCAUUCUAAAAGAUUUAGUCAAAUACGCUAUUGCACGUAGUGAAGUGAGUUGAUCAACUAAUUGAAAAUCAUGAAUUAAUACUUUUUACUUAAUAAACCUAGGACGGAUAGUCAUCAAAAUAUUAUUUUUGUAACUUGCGUCAUAUUACAAAGUCCUAAACCAGUAGGCAGAAUAUUAGAACCUACUUAAUUAACAUUUUUUGUAACGUGGCAUGAUCUGAUUGAUUCACGUCAAUAAGUUUCGUACAAAUAAUCUCUUAAAAUUGUGUCGUACAAGGACAAACACUAUCUUUUGCAAAUUUCAAAACUGCAGUUAGGGUGCUAAACAACUCAGCAUGUUGGAUUAACAAUGAGCUUAUAAUGAAUACUGAGGAAACAAACAAUAUCUAUUACAUGAGUUCCACUUCAAUGCUUGUGGUAUUAAAUGUUACGAGCAUUGAAUGAUUUGAAUUUACGAAACUACAAAUCAAUAAUCCAAAUUAAUUUAGAUCAUCUAACGAUGCUUGUAACAUGAAAGAAUUUUCUCUAUUAUAUAUAUAUGCUGUUCAUAAAACAUCUGUAUAAUUGCAUAACAUGCAUGCGUGCGUACGUUGAGUAAAUAUUAUAAUAUAUUAUAAUAUAUACAGAAUACCCUUUGUCGAAGGGUGUGGCGCUACCGAAUUAUCAACGAAAAAUUUAAAAAUAAAUUGAUUGGAGAUAUAUAUAGGAAAUGGACAGUAGAUCAGAUCAGACACAAAGAAAAGUUUAUUAGGUGCUGAAAAAUACAAGACAAACUAUAUUAUAUUAUUUAGUUUGAUAAUUAGGUGAGCCAAUUCUUUGUAUCUAUGCAUGGAAGAUCAUAAUCGAUAAUAAGUUUUUAUUGCUGAGCAAUGUUUUCAAUUUGGAAUAAAUUUUUUUUCCUACUGUUAGUUAGUUUUUUUUGGUCAAACUAAUGCAGUUCGUUACUGUUGUGCAUAUGAGAGCAUGUUUAGCAGGUGAGAGGAAGGAGAUAAUUUUAGCGUGGCUGGAAAGCACCUUUUGAUACAACAAAUAUUUUAAUACAAAGUUGUUGGAUAUGUUCACCAAAAAAAAAAAACGUUGUUGGAUAUUUGAAGAAAAAAAUUUAACCACUUAAAACAUGAAUCGGUAUAAAUAAGUGGGCACUUUUUUACUUUUUCUCUUUUUUCUUGGAUAAAAUCCAAAACCUAAAGAGUGAGUCAUGAUUAAAGUAAGAGGUCUUUCAUCUCUGGCUCUUUGUUGGUCAGGCACGUGUGGCUGACCUGGUUACUUUUAGACUCACCAGUCACUUAAGCUGCAGGCUAAAGUAAACAGAUUGUGGUUGACUUUGGCCCACUUCUCAAGACCCUCCCAUCUCCAACACCAGUACCACCGUCCUCUCACCCACACCACUGAUCGUCAGGAGUAUUGGACGGCUAGAUCAGAAGCAUUACAGGCUGAUGCAGCUGGCAACACGUAUCUUUCCCUAUCUAUUUGAAUCUUGUCGUAAACUCCGACUGAAUAGUCGAGCUAUAUAUGCUUAUUUACAUUACACGAUAUCACAUGAUAGAGCGGAAUAUGAUCAUUUUAUAUGUUCGUUUCAUGUAACUUGUUCUUAUGGUUUGUUUUUGGUUGAAUCUAAUAAUUCAAAGAUGUACAAGGAGAUACGAAAUGUUGAAAAAUGACUUCUUUCACCUGUUCUGUUGUUUUCACCCCCAACUCACAUGUCUACGUGCCAAGCCUUCCAGUUUUGACCAAAGCUAGGAAAGUUCACAAAACGACGGGGUCGUACCUUUCAGGUUAUCGCCGACGGAUAGGUCCAACGGAACCCAUCCCAUCAAAAAGAGCCAAUUGGAUUUGUGCCCACUGCCCACAGUCAAAUCAGCUCCCCACGCUAAUUCCAAUUUCUCAGUUUCUACCAUGAGUUUCUAUCGCCAAACGGUGUCCUUAUCCUCAACCCUAAAUGUGUGGUCCAUGACCAUUUCGCACAGGAUGCUUUGCUUGUGACUCCACCUUCCUUCAAACGCAAAACACCAUCCAUACACACAAAGAAAAGUUUUGAGUUAUUGUCACAAACUUAAUGUUGUUCCUUAUUCACGCGUUAUAUCAACCACUUAAAAAUGCUUACCAUUUACAACAGCAAUUGAAAGUGCUUUAUUCAAUGAUUUCUUUCUUAAGGAAACACUUAGAGUCUGUUUGAUACUCUACUUGAAUCUAAUUUUUUAAACUCAAAAAUAAUUUUCAAGUUUUAGGCCUUCAAAACUUGUUUGGUAGGACUAUUUUCAAAAACUGAACUUAAGACUAAUUAAAAAAUAUAGUCUAUUAUCUAAAAACAUAAAAAGUGAGUUUUUAGAGUUUUUAAACUUAAACUCACUCAUUUCUUUUUUUUCUAUUCUCUACUCUCACUCCAAAUCUAUCUCUUUUCUUCUUUCGCUCCUAUCUUUUUUUUUACCUUUUUCGUCUCUCCUCCAAUCUGCUCUCUUCAUUCUCUCGGUUAUUUCUUUCACUCAUCUUCCUCUCAAUCUCGUCCGAUCCUCUCUCUUAUUUAUCUUUCCUUCAAUCAUUUCUUACUUUCUUUCCUCCUCUCUCUUUUUUCUCUCUCUCAUGUGACCCCAUCUUUUUAGAUUUUUUUGUCUAAUUUAAAUUGCAAACCAAUCAAGUUUUUGAAUCUUAAAGAAAAUUGUUUAAGGAAAUCUUCUUAAGAAAUGUUUUGAAAAAUGAUAAAAAAUUUUAAAUAGAAUACCAAACAAACAUGUUUAGUUUUCAUCAAAUUUUUACGUGCUUAUAACAAACAGGCUAAUAAUAAAAUUCUUAAAAGCAUGAAAAGUCAUGGCCGACUUAUAGAGUGUGGGAGAUGUGGGACCGCAUAUGGCUCAAUGAACCUAAGGGCCCCUGAUUACAGAAAAUUACAGGGGGAGUGGGAGGCUAUGCUGGUGCGAGGAAGAAGAAAAUGCGUACCUUUGGCCACUUUGUGUUUAUUUUUAUGCAAUUAUUUAUUUUUUUACAGAAAAUUAUAUGAAGUAAAAAUAAUAAUAUGAGGUAAAAAAAAUUAUAUGAAAAAAAAAAAAAGGUUCCCUGCACACACUACAGACGGUCAUAUGCAGAUGACAUAUGACAGAGACCCUUGAAAAUAAAUAAAUCCCACCGCCCCUCUUCCAUCUUCAUCUUCCAUCUUCUCUCUCCUCCAGUCUCUCCCAGACUCCCUCCCUCCCAAUUCCACUCUCCCACACCAUGAAUUCAUUUACCACUCCACACUUGUCCUAAUUCAAAACCCCAAAUUAAAAAUCCCAACAAAGUUCAAAUCACUCUGAAAAUUUCUGAAAUUUGCUAUAAAGCUCCGAGCUUUGAGAAUGGUUUCUCUACAAGAUUCCCAUUCCGGCUCCAGCCACCACUUCCCGCCUCACACCCGCAACUUCUACUCUCCCUCCUCCACCAAAAUCCACCGUCAAACCGGCCGCUCCAUGCGCACCAUCCGCUCCAACAUCUACCAAGACGAUCACUCCCGCACCUCCUUCGCCGCCGAAAGAUCGACUUUUGUCUCCGAGAACCUGACCGAUUCGGUCGUCGACAUGCGCCUCGGCGAGCUCGCCCUCCGCACCCACAGCUCCGCCAGCAAGUCCGCGUCUUCCGACGAGGAGUACCUCCAGCUCUCCCAAGCCUUCAGUGAUUUCUCCGCCUGCAGCAGCGACAUAUCGGGAGAAUUGCAACGCCUCGCAAGCUUGCCGUCGCCGGAAAACGCGCCGACCUCCGAAUUAUCCGAGGCUGCGCCGGAACCGGAGCCAUGCCAGGGGUUUUUGCAGAGGGAGAAAUUCUCGACCGAGAUCAUCGAGAGCAUUUCGCCGGAGGAUCUUCAGCCGACGGUCAAGAUCUGUGUCGACGGCCUCCAAUCGACGUCGCUUGCCGUGAAGCAAUCUGCAGCGGCCAAGCUCAGGCUUUUAGCGAAGAAUCGGGCUGAUAAUCGCGCCUUGAUCGGGGAGUCCGGCGCCGUUCCCGCUCUAAUUCCUCUACUGCGGUGCAGCGAUCCAUGGACGCAAGAGCACGCCGUCACGGCGCUGUUAAACCUCUCGCUGCACGAAUCAAACAAGGCCAUAAUCACCAAUGCCGGAGCUAUAAAGUCGUUAGUGUACGUCCUCAAGUCGGGGACGGAAACCUCGAAGCAAAACGCAGCCUGUGCGCUGCUGAGCUUGGCGCUAAUAGAAGAGAACAAGAGCUCAAUCGGAGCCUGCGGUGCAAUUCCCCCGCUGGUUUCGCUGCUAAUAAGUGGAUCCACGAGGGGCAAAAAGGACGCUUUGACGACUCUGUACAAGCUCUGCUCGAUAAAGCCCAACAAAGAGAGGGCGGUGAGCGCGGGAGCUGUGAAGCCGCUGGUGGCACUGGUGGCGGAGCAGGGGACGGGCUUGGCGGAGAAGGCGAUGGUGGUGCUGAGUAGCUUGGCGGGAGUCGAGGAAGGGAAGGAGGCUAUUGUGGAGGAAGGCGGGCUGGCGGCGCUUGUGGAGGCGAUUGAAGAUGGGUCGGGGAAAGGAAAGGAGUUUGCGGUGUUGACACUGUUGCAGCUGUGCAGUGAGACUCUGAGGAACAGAGGAUUGCUUGUGAGGGAAGGAGGGAUUCCGCCAUUGGUUGCGCUUUCGCAGACUGGGACUGUUAAAGCUAAGCACAAGGUAUCUUGAUCAUUUCAUUAGUUGGGUAUUUGGUACUACAAUCUUUCUAAGUGUUAAAUUGUGUAGACGAAAUGGUGCUAAUAUUGUUUAAAUUGUAGACCGAAAACCCAUCCCGCAGUUUAGAUUAGAUUAGAAUAUCGCACGGAUAAAAAAAAAGAUUGUUCAUUUUAAAUUGGUAGCUAAAGCUGUUAGUUGAAGGAAGUAAACAAUGAAAUGCGAAUUGUCAUGCAUUUUGUAAUUCCAAGUCUGCAUGUGGAUGUUGUAUUUAUGAUCAUGGUCUUAAUGGAGCUCGCUUGGUUGGUUUAUAAUGGGGGUUUGGUUGUUUUUGCAGGCUGAAACGCUUCUUGGGUACUUGAGAGAACCGAGACAAGAAGCGUCCUCUUCGGCUCUUUAGAGAAGCGAAGGGAGGUACUUUCACAACUUAGAGAGGGAACUAUACUAUGUGUCUGUGUAUGUAGUUUGAGUAGUGUUUGAUUGCACUUGUAUAUAGGAAGUGUUGGAGUUUCAUGGUUUGUAACUUUGUACAGUUUGGUUGAGAAGCUAGGAAGAAGAAUAUGAUAUGAUUGUAAGAAGGGAGAGAGAUUAUAGGAAGCUAGUGAGCAAGAGACCACUGGCUUCUUAGCAGUUUAGAUGUAUGAAUUCAACUAGGUUUUUUGGUUGGGUAUUUUCUUUCUUUCUUGCCCUCUUUUUCUAUCAUUGACUUGGUUUUUUGUAGGGGUGGAAAACUAUUACUUGUUUGCCUUGUGGUUGUUUUGGGUCAAUUGGAUCCUUGUGUUUUGUAUGCGUAAACCCGAAUUUUGCUGUAAGGGUUUUACCGAUUAUCUGGUUUUAGUUAUCUGCUUGCAAAAGUAUCGUCUCUGUUCCUUCGUUAUUGAUUGUGUUCUAAUUUCGUGUCUGAUGGAAAAUUGGAAAUUCAUAUGUUGUUGGAGAUACUGUGGGAGGGAGGCUGAACAAAAUGUUCUCUCCUCCUUCAAAGCUCUGUGUUUAGUUUCUGUUGGUUGUACCCAAAUUGGGAUCUUGAACUCCGACGCCAAGGUGGUGACAGUUUUUCAAACCAAUCAUGAGGUGCCAUAUGGGCUUAAAGAACGUAGUGACUUGAGAUAGGUUAGGCGUUUCUAUUUCAUACAACUCUCCCUCCAACUUGUGGUGUGUUCGUUGUCCGGUUAUUCCUUGCUUAGUAGAGAAUGCAAACUUUAAAGCUUUAUUCUCCACAUCUUUUGUCAAUUUUCUCGGCUACCAAACAGCAAGUGAUACUACACCGUUUGGGAGCAUUAUAAAGUAGAGCAGGUGAGCUGCCGUGGGCUACCCCAUCACCUCUCUCUCCCUCCCACCCCCGCACCACCUGUCCAACUACACGCAAUUCAUCCAAGGCAAAGCCAGAGGCCACCGGACAUGGAUCCUCUCCGGAUCCAAUUGUCCUAAUUUUAGGAUCAAUGAAUAUGGAUCAUUAAAAUUUAAUUAAACAGUUAUAAACAGUAACUCACUAUAAAAAUUAUAAUAAUUUUAAUUGAUGAAUCAAAUUUCAAUGGUCCGGAUUCAUUGAUCUCUAGGAUUAAGAUAAUAGGAUCCGAAGAGGAUCCAUGUCCUAGGCCACCAACCAAAAAGAUUUUUCAAAAAAUUGUCCCGCUGCUGCUGGUGCAGUGCACUGCACAGUGUGUACAUAUAUUAUCUUUAAUUCUUUAUUCAAAUUGAUGAUAUUAUGUGGUUUGUCGGUACGUAGUAAAAGAAAUGAUGCAUUAGCUGGCGGAGGAGGAGGAGCAGGUAUUGUUUUGUCCCCCUGUUCGUUUGGAUUGGAUGGUUGCAAUUUGCAUUUCUUACUCAAUUUCUUACUCAAUUUCUUACUCAAUUUCUUACUCAAUUGCAAUGUCUGUCGGUGCGCCCUUUUCUGACAACUUUUUUUUGAGCCUCACAAGUGCACACGCGUCCAAAAUGUGUAUGUUAUUAUUUUGCAUGGCUCACCAAUUGCAAUAUCGAAUCGUACAUUGUUAUGUAUUCUAAUUUUCUCGUACAACUAUGCUUGAUUUGUCUGGAAUAUUGCCGCCUUAUGGGGUAAGAUGAAAGGAGGGGGUGGGAAUGCUUCUAUAGAAAGCCCUUUGUGCUCAUAACAUUACUCGUUUUAAAAAGCAGUUUCAAAUGCUUGGUUAAUUCAGAAAUACGCAACUUUUUAAGUCAAAACAUUGUUAAAACUUUAAGUUAUUCUUGAAACACUUUAAACAUGCUCAAUAAAUAGAACCUAAUAGAAAACUGAUAUAUAAUAGACCAUAUUAUGAUGACAUGACAUAUACAUAUUAAUUGUUUCAUGAUAUUAAAGCACGAGCUGUGAUAGUAUGGUCAUCAAAAUAUGGUAAUUCCUCACAAAACAUUGGUCCCUAUUCGACUGUACUAUUCCUCAACUUUGGCCUUACCUUUGGUGUCCUUGGGAGCAAAUAGCUUAGGUCUGAAGCCUUUCUGCAGCAACUUCUCAACCUCUUCAAAUUGCAUUCCUUUGGUUUCAGGAACUAGCAAGUAAAUGAAUAUGAGUCCAAUAAGAGAAAACCCAGCAAAGAGGAGAAACGUUCCCGCCGAACCCAGCGCUUUCGUCAGAGUCAAGUAUGUCUCGCUCACUAUGAGAUUGGCCGUCCAGUUUGAAACUGCAGCGAUUCCUCCACCCGUCCCUCUGUAUCUCAGCGGGUAUAUUUCCGAGUUCACGAUCCAUGGCACUGUUCCCAUUCCGGGUGCAUACAUUAUAAUGUACAAUCCCAAUAGUAUCACUGCAAAUAUUCCGAUUUUACUAGGGCAGCCUUUACUGUACCAUGUCCUGUGUUCUCCACGACAUAAGUCCCUGAUAUUAUCACUGGCGGCCAAGCAAGCUCCCGGAGCGAGCUGACAACAAUCAAGGGGAAAAACAGAUUACUUAAGGUUACAUGUUUAAUUUCUAAUGAUUAAAGACUCAUUAGUGAGUUAUUUUGUACACUUACAUCCUUGAUUUCACUAGCACAGAAGCCACAUUCUUGUUUCAAACACGUCAUGCAGUUCCAUGCUGUAGGAUUGACAGCCGAUACAUAAGUCGGACAUGUUGAAGAGUUGCCGAAUUUAGCAGAUUCCAAAUUACUAAUCUUCGGAGAAUGUUCCGCGGCAUAGAAAAAAACCCCGGCUAACACCACAAGGCAAGCGAUAAUACCAAACAUAGAAAUGAUCAUCAGCCUUCUCCUUCCGUAUCUAUCUACAAAGCACAUGCUGAUUAGGGUUCCAACAACGUUGAGACCGGAUGUGAUGAGUGAGAGUGCCAUAGCGGUCUGGUUGGAUGCAAAACCAGCGAAUUGAACAAUGGUCGGGCUGUAAUACAUCACGGUAUUAAUACCGACAAAUUGCUGAGCUACUUGGACAGUGAUGCCUGCGUAGAGUCCUCUUCGAACCACGGUGUUGCUCAAGGCACCCUUUAGUUUUUGGAUCAUGCCAUUCCCAGCUGCUGAGUCCUCGGCCUUUUCAAAUUCGACAGAUUCAUGCAAGGCCUUCAAUUCAUCUUCCACCUCUUCUUCAGGAUAGAUUUUCUGCAAAAUUGCCCUAGCUUCAUCCACCUUGUUCUGUUUAAUAUAAACAACAUCAAUACCAAGUUAUAUGUGACAUGUUCCCUCAUAAAAUCUUAUGUUAGACUGUGAAUUUGAAUGGUUGAUUGGUCGUGUCUAUGACAUGCGCCCUCAAAUACACAGUCUGACAACAUAAGCAUUUACGUCACGUAUAGAAAUUACGUGACAGAUAUCUAGCUACUAUGAUAAUCUCACCGCUCUGUAGAGCCAUCUUGGAGACUCUGGAAGCGACAACAUCAAUAUGAACUGAACAAGGGCUGGAAGUCCCGCGACUCCAAGCAUCCAACGCCAGGUUCCCGGAGCUUUGGUGAAGGCGAGAUUGAUGAGGUAUGACAAGAAUUGUCCUCCUGUAAUUAACAUACCGUUGCAGCUAACCAGAGCUCCUCUGAUUCUAUGAGGAGAAGCUUCUGAGAUGUAGAGGGGUGCGGUCAUAGAAGCCAUUCCAACUCCCAAACCAACUACAAUUCUCCCAAUUAUGAUCACCCAUGGAGCUGGAGCCGCGCCCAUAACUAUUGCACCAACGAAGAACACCACGUCCGCGAUUAGAAUUGAUUUUUUCCGGCCAAGUGCGUCAUUCAUCCAUCCACCAACAGCAGCCCCAAUGAUGGCGCCAGCAACUGCCAUGCUCACUAUGGUCUCCUGCAGCCAUGUUUUUUUGUCAACUUCACGAAAGUCCUCCCGAAUGUAUAGCAAUGCCCCGGAGAUCACACCUGCAGCACCACACCACCAACAACAACACAUACAACUAAUUAGCACAAAGAAAAAUUGUCAUAUGAAGUAAUUAAUUGUUCGUGUUAAGAUAUUGUUUGGAACUCAAUUUGCAGAUGUUUUUUUUAGAACAAUGUGCAGCUAUUAGUUACCUGUAUCAUAUCCAAAAAGGAGGCCUCCGAUGCCAGCUGAGAGCGCAAGGCGCAUAAUGUACGGUGUCCUCCAUGUUGUCCUCCAACACUCCGUGAACUCAGUUUUGCUAGAAGGUGGGGCUCCCCCCUCCACCAUUUUUUUCUUCUUCGUCUUCGUUCAAGCAGCUCUACUUUCGCUGAGAACGAAAUCAAUGUAUGAAUGCACUCAUUUACUUGCCAACGCACUCUUAGUUACAUAACGGUUCUAAAUGAAUGCCCUCAGACAUGCAUGUUCUUAUUUGUCUUCAGUUUUUUACCUCACAAAAAUAACUAUUCAAUCUCCGCAACCCUAAUUUCUAUUUGCUUCGAAAAUGAAAGUAAUACAUAACAUUAGCUUUCGAAUGUUCCACCAUAUAACAAAGUAUAUAUAUGCAUGAAUAUAUAAACCAGAAAUUUUCUAUGCAAUACGUUCAUUAAGAACACGCGUAAAUCCAUAUUGUAACAACAAAACGUGCCUUCCUAGCUAAGUGGCUAAGUUUUUGGUGUCAUUAUGCGCUAUCCUACGGUCUCCAACAGCUUUGUGUAGAAGUAACACAUAGUAAGUUGUUUCUUCGACAAUUACUGAAGUUCAAUUUUGCCAACGAUAUUGCUGAUGUUGAAAGGUUUAUAACAACGUCAGUAACGGUUGGACACGGAAGAAAAGGGGUUUGAAGGAUGUUGCUAAUCUUUAUAUACUCUUGACCUAGUUUUCUAAAAAUGUGGAAUUCUCUAGGCUCUACACUUUUGUCUCCAUCGCCUCGCUCUUUGUUUUCUUACACGUCCUAAAACGUAGCUGAUUUCUGACCACUGACCACUAUAUAUAAUGCUUUGACCGGUUUAUACGUUUUUUAUUCUCUAUAUGCAUGCCAGAUGUUAUAUAAGAUAGCCAUGUAGUUUUGAUAAAUAUACAGACGCAUGCAUGCGCAGCAAACCCUAAAUCAUACAGACAGAUAUAAAUUAGUUCUUUAUAAACUCACCACUCCCUAUCGUCAAAUUUUAAGGAUGAAUUGCAUUCCACCAGACUAUAACAUGUACUUUUGUUUAUGCAGUAAGCAUGCUCGUUUUGUAAAUGUUUAAGCUCAUCACAAUUAGAAAUACCGAUUUCUCAUUCUGGUUAAAUAGGUAGACGCUAAAGAACGAAACUUCGGAAUUUGCAAAAAUAAGCCCAAAGAAUAGCAGGCUAAAAUUAAAAAACAGAAAACAAAUGUCAAGAAUGGGAUUCGAACCCAUGCCCUUUCGGACCAGUACCUGAAACUGGCGCCUUAGACCAACUCGGCCAUCUUGACUUUAUGUGAUUCCUAAACCAAUGCAAUUUUCAAGGCUUAAAUCUCAAAUCAAUACGUUAUAGUAUACUUUCUGGCAAGUAAAUUUUUUCCUUUUCAUUUUCAUGAGAAAAUAGAUGUGCGCGGAAGUUAGUUUCCGAUUGUUUCAUGUUUUAGUAAAAAUUAUAGACAUAUGACAUACAUUAUUCAAUUUAACGGAUAGAAAAAUUGGUUAGAAUUAAGCUUAAAUAAAAAGAUUGAUUAAAAACAUAACUUUGCGUUUUAUUGGUAAAAAAAAAAACAGGAAAUAUAAAUAAGCUCCCCUUUAACAUGGUGGGAUAAUUAUAAAAAAAAAAAAAAAGAGCAACAAUUGUGCAAUCAUGAAUUAUAUGGAUUACUUGGAGCUGAUCAGUUAAAAAAUAAAUAAAUAAAAUAACAAUUAUUUACCAAAGACUUUGUAUAGACUGACUUUAUUAAGAAAGAGAACUAAAAAUGUCUCUUCAGAACACCCACGAGUUUCAAAAUUUAUACAAGGAACUCAGGAAAGUUCAACAUUUUUGCCGACUUGCUUGCUCUUUGAAGCAAAUGGCUUGGGCCUAAACCCUUUCUGAAGCAACUUCUCAACCUCCUCAAACUGCAUUCCUUUCGUUUCAGGAACUAGCAUGUAUAUCGCUAUGAGUCCAAUGACAGAAAACCCGGCAAAGAGGAGGAACGUGCCGGCGGAACCUAGAGCAUUUGUCAAGGUCAAAAAUGUCUCACUCACAAUGAGAUUGGCACUCCAAUUUGCAACUGCAGCCAUUCCUCCACAUGUUCCUCUAUACCUGAGAGGGUAUAUCUCCGAGUUCACGAUCCACGGCACAGUUCCCAUUCCAGGUGCAUAGAUAAUGAUGUACAAUCCCAACAGGAUCACUGCGAAGAAUCCGACUUUGCUUGGACAACCUUUGGUGUACCACACACGAUGUUCUCCCCGACAUGAGCUCCUGAUAUUGUCAUUGUAAGCCAAACAAGCGCCCGGGGCAAACUGGCAGUUGCAACAAUAGAAAAACAAGUAAAUUUAUAACGUCACUCUUACAAUUAUAUGUCAAGCAAAUCGGGAAGAGACGGGGAAGUGAUUUCUGCACAUCUCUUGUCUUCCCCUGCAAUUCUGACAUACAUAAAUAAACAUGUGUGAAACGGAAAAGGUGUGUGUGGAUAUCAUUUCCCCAAAGUAAAUGAGGUGAGCUUACAUUGACUUUAUUAGCACAGAAUCCACACUCUGCUUUCAAACACGUCAUGCAGUUCCACGAUCCUGGAUUAGGAGCAGAAACAUAAGCAGAACAUGUAGAAUUGGCACCGAAAUGUGUGGAUUCCAAGUUACUGAUGCGUGGAGCAUGAGAUGCUGCCUGGAAAAACACCCCAGAUAACACCACCAAGCAAGUGAUGAUUCCAAUCAUGGAGAUAAGCAUCAGCCUUCUCCUUCCGUAUCUAUCUAUGAAGCACAUGCUGAUGACAGUGCCAACCACGUUGAGUCCAGAAGUGACCAGAGAGAGUGCCAACGCCGUCUGGUUGGAUGCAAACCCGGCAAACUGAACAAUAGUUGGGCUGUAGUACAUGACAGUGUUGAUACCGACAAAUUGCUGAGCCACUUGGACAGUAAUGCCUGCAUAGAGUCCUCUUCGGACAACGGGGUUGCUGAAGGCACCCUUUAAUCUUGCUAGCACACCUUCUCCAGCAGCUCCUCCCUCGGCCUUUUCAGCUUGGACGGAUUCAUGCAAGGCUUGCAUUUCACGCUCAACUUCUUCGGCAGGAUAAAUUUUCUCUAAGAUGGCUCUAGCCUCAUCUGCCUUAUUCUGUUUAGCAGCAAAUUAUAUGCUAAAGUGUGGUAUUAUAUAUGUCAUGGAAAUUGAAUGAUCAUACAAAAAUCUAAUGGAUGUAAAAUUUCAACAUGUUGGAAUAACUACGACCAUGAUCAUACAAAAAACAGGACACAAGACUUCGAUUAUAGAACACCUCUCUGUAGAGCCAUCUGGGAGACUCUGGGAGCGACAACAUCAAUACAAAUUGUACCAAAGCCGGAACUCCUGCUACGCCAAGCAUCCAACGCCAUGUUCCUGGAGCCUGAAGCAAAGUAAUUUACAACAACUAAUUACGUCGAAAUUUGGAGAUAAGGAAAUUGAAACCAUGAAAAUGCUAUUGGACUAAAGCCUCAAAUCUAUUAGUUGGUACCUUGGUGAAAGCAAGAUUUAUAAGGUAUGACAAGAACUGUCCUCCAGUGAUUAGAAAACCAUUUGUACUGACCAGGGCACCUCGGAUUCUAGCGGGAGAGGCUUCUGAGAUGUAGAGCGGCGAGGUCAUGGAAGCCAUUCCAACUCCAAAACCGACCAGAAUUCUCCCAAUUAUGAUCACCCACGGAGCUGGUGCAACAGCCAUUACUAUUGCUCCAAUGAAGAACACAAAGUCUGCUGCUAGGAUUGAUUUUUUCCGGCCUAGGGCAUCGUUCAUCCAUCCGCCAAUUGCAGCACCAAUGAUUGCUCCUGCAACUGCCAUACUCACUAUGGUUUCCUGCACAUCAAUGUCAAUGAAAAAUACCACAAAUUUAGCUGACAUAAACAUAAAUAUGAGCUUAAUUAUCCAGACUAAUUAGUAAUUAACAUGAGGAGAGCAAUGUAGAUUAACUCACUUGCAACCAUGUUUUCUUGUCAACAUCGCGAAAGUCCUCGCGAAUGUAGAGUAAUGCACCAGAAAUCACACCUAAAGUACUCCAACAACAGACAGAAGAAAAUUAACAAAAUUAAUCAUGCAUGGGAAUUGUCCUUUGAAUUAAUCAAACUAACUUCUGGGUUUUAACCGUGAUAUGUAUGAUUUUAUGUACCUGUAUCGUAUCCGAAAAGGAGGCCUCCAAUGCCAGCAGAGAGAGCAAGGCGCAUAAUGUAAGGCGUCUUCCAUGUUGUCCUCCAACACUCUGUGAACUCUGUCUUGCUAGCAGGCGGGUGUCCUCCCUCCAUAUCAUUCACUAUUUCUUCCUACUAACUCUAACCCUGAAACGCUCAGGUCCGAAACCAUAUAUCACUUAAUUACAAUUUCAAUCACUAGCCAAUUCUCUAUCUCUAAAAUCCUCCAAAUUUUUCUUGCAACGAGUUAAUACCGUAAAACAAAUAAAACAUGUUUAAUCCUUUCAAAUUCUUUGGUAGUUCUUCUUCUUCAACACACAAGCAAAACAACCACAGAUUAAGAAGAAUAGCAGUGUUGAAAAAGCCAUUACCUUGUUAGUAUGCCUAAUGGUGGAGCUCUUCCUGCUGUUCUUCAGCCGCCUACUUUUGGAUUUUGGAUGCUGCUUUUCUUAUCUGUAUUUUGAAUUUUGGUGAUGGAAAUUAAAUAAAUUUGAUUUUGUAUUGAAAUAAAACAAUUUUGUAACAGAUUCCUUUAUUGUUUCAAUUUUUGAGAGUUUCAAUGCAAAUAGAACACGGACAUUUAAGGAAGACUGAGAGAAAUCCAAAUAAAAGAAGAAAAAAAAGCAUUGACAAAUCAGAUUUUUCUGCAAUUAAUAUAUUUCCUGCACAAAGUCAGCAGAAAAAGGCUGACUCAAAAUUUAGAAUAAUAUUUGACUACUCAAAAUGAGUAGUAAUUCCUACUCAAAAUUUCUUAAAAUUAUUUGUUGUCAAUGUAUAGAACUUCGUUUGUAUGAUCAAAACCGUUUAUAUUAUAAAUCAUCCUAUAAAUAUCACCUCUGCAAAAAAUCAAUUAAAAUUAAAGUCGUUUAGUCAUCAAACUGUUUAAAAACAAUUGAACGGUAUUGAUAAAAGCAUUACGAACCGGCUAUGUAUUUGUUACAAUACAUUGACUAAACGACCUUAGUUUUAAUUUAUUUUUUGCAUAAAUGAUCUUUACAGUGUGAUUCAUAGUACGAACGAUUAUAAUUAUAAGUACAAAGCUCUGCGAUUAAAAUACUAUGAAUUUUGAGUAAGAAUUCCUAUUCAUCUUUAAGUAGCCAAGUAUUGUUCCAAAAUUUAAAGCCAUUUUCUCGCUAGUUUUUUUGGUUUUCUCGUUUCUUUUUUCAGUACAAUCAAUGACUCAGUACGACCUCAAAAUUUCAAAGCUGCAAUCUUUGGUACCCCAUUGAGAAUGCGACAUAGGUAUAUGAUAUUUGAUUCGAUUUGGAAGAUGAUCUGACUUUUUUCAGUUUGUUUCCUUGUGUCACUAUUUCCACAAGUAGUAAAGACGCUUCAAAGUUGUGACGAGUCUUUAGUUUUCGCACAACUAUGUAUUUUUAUGUUUAAUGUUUUUUGGACGGUUCCCAACUAUUUUGUUCCAGGUGACAAGGCACAAGGAUAAGGAUGCUUGUACAUGGAAUGAUGGAAAUAAGAUUAACAUGGCAAGAAAAGAAAAAACCGAAUGAAAUUAUUUCAUCAUAUAUGGUAGCGAGCGCUAAUAUCAUAGGAAUUCGAUGUGAAGAAUAAAGUGUCGGUUGUCGAGUACCUUACCUAUUCUCCCUUCAUCUUUAUUCGGACUUGAAACCGAUAGCCUAAGAUAAACAUACACAUGCGGAAUUAUUAUAAAUAUUGUUAUUAUUUGUGAAAAAGGUACAUAAUAGUAUGAACAUAAAAUAAUGUCUAUCUUACCAUGCAUCUAGUACGCACAAGAAAUGAAAAUAGGGCAUGAGUAGACUACCGAGUUGAUAGUCUGGUUUGGUUGACAUUCCAUAAAUUUGUAAAAACAUCUGUAAAUUUGAUUGCUAUACGUUGAAAUCAUAUCCGUAAAUUUAACAAUCCGUAAAUAUAACAAAUAAGUUUUCUUUCCUAGAGGUGACGAGCUAGCUAGCCUAAAUUCAGCAUGAAUCCGUCCCGUUUAAAAAAUUAAAAACUAAAAAUAAUUAAGUCAAAAUAACACGUGUCACUCAUAUAAAUAGGGCGUAGAAAGGCUGCAUAGAGUUUUUGAGUUAGAAGAUUUGAACUCCUCUAAUUCAGUCUGCGGAUUGGGCCUCUCUCAAAAUUUAACUUUAUGCGCAAUGCCUUUUUUAUCUUGGCCCAGCAUUGAACCUUAUAACUGUUUUACCGUUACUGUUUUCACGUUGAACUCAAACGCUUAGACGAAAAAGCCCUCAUGUGUUUUAUCAUAUUCCGAAAUUACCUUAGAUGUCGUCCUCCUCAUCCCCCUCUCAUUUGUCCGAUGUGUUCUGACGCUCUCUCUGUGCCCUUUCAUCCUCUCACCUCUCUCUCUGCUGGCCCUCCCCCCUCCUAUCACCGCCCUUCACCGCCGGUAUCCACGGCUGAUUGCCAUCCGUCUCAUCAUCCACGGUCACUCCCUCUCUCUCUCUCUCUCUCUCUCUCUCUCUCUCUCUCUCUCUCUCAACCUUGUACAUUUUAGAAUUGUAUUCCUUACGAGUUACGGCUCGUUUGGAUCUCCAAAUUCCGAUUUCGUGUAUUUGUGAAACUUUCGAUUGAUUGUAUAUCAUUUGGUUUGUUUUGCGUAUUGGGUUGAUAUUGAAAAGUGUUUUUAUGGAUCGGAUUGUUGCAGGUUUGGACACGUCCAAGCUAUUGAUCCGUUGUUGACCCCGCAAUCUGGUAAUUUCUGGAUUUUAAUUUCAUUAUUUCUUUGUGUCGUACAUAUUAUUGCCAAUAAAUGUACUAAUUUACUGUACAAGUUAUUAUCUUUCAAUAGGAUUUCGGGCCUGGUGGAUAUGACCAGUGAUUGUUACUGGGUUAUGUUUUUAGGCGUCCACAGUAUGAUAUUCAAUUGGGUAUAUUUUUAAUAGAGAUUCAAUCAGUCAAAGCUAUGAAAUUUUUUUUUUCCCUCCUUUGACUUUUCAGCUAUAUUCGAGAAUUGGGUCUGAGUUAUACAGUGAUCAUGCUGUUUUCUUGAAUAGUGCGAAUUUAUUUUUACUCCCAAAAGGAAAAACUUAAGUAAAUUGCCCCUCUGAUUUUAGGAUUGUUUUGGAGCGAAUGGGGAUCAUUCGGUUUAGCUCUUGCUCGGGAAGUAGUUGAUCAAUGUGGUUUGUGAUUGGAGUCCCCCUUUUUUUUAAUUGACUUUGAAGAUUAGCAUAAUGGUACUAAGUGGUUUACUUCGUGAGUUUGGUCUUUCAGUGUUUAAUGGCAAUUAUUACAGUAUAAAGUUGAUAUUCUGAAUAGUGCAGCUAUGUGGACCUUUAUGUUAUAUCAUGCGAUAAUGUUUCGCAUUGGGAACUUUCUUGAAAUCUCAAAUUUCAUGUUGUUUCAUCAUCAUUUCUUUGCCUCUGCCUCAUAGUGCAUUCUAUUACAAGAAUAACUGAAUGAGGUAAAUCGUUGUCAUUAUUUCUAGGUUUCAGAGGGAAAGAUGGAGUGAGAGGAGGCCAAAAAGAAGGCAUUGAGGUAUUUCUUAUAGCCUGUGUGACGGUAAACUUUUUGAGUGACGGUAAACUUUUUGAAGAAUACGUACUUAUGUAGAUUGCAAUCACAAAGACAUUUGCUUGCUGAUUGGUUAAAUUGUUUUUCUUUUACAUCUUAUGCUCUAGUUCCAGUCCCUUUAUUAAAAUAAUAGUUGUAAAAAUCUCUACGGUGGAAUAACUUGCCUUUAACAUUUCAAAUCCAGUUAAUUGUUAGAAGUCUGUAAUUCCUGAUGCUUUCUUGAUGCUGCAGGAUUUGGCACUUUUUCUGUACGGCUAGAUUGUAAUUUGAAAAGGAGAAAGCUUCCCAGAUAGAUUUACAUAUGUAGAAAGCAUCUAAGAGAAGGCAUAGGGGCCACAAUCUGUAAUCCUACCUUAGCUUUGUAAGGAAGUCUCGGAUUCUGUAAUUGCUGAAAAGCCUUUUUCCCAUUAUAUACCUUUCCUGCCUUACACGGUUCAUCUGACAACUGUUUUUUCUUUUUGUCCAGAGAAUCAUUUGAAGGGGGAAAAGUAGAUAUUUUGUAGGUUAUUAGUUUCUUAAAGAUCCACCCUGGCUACUCAUUAUUAAUAUGGUUCAUUAGCUUAAAAAAUCUGUGGAGUUUGGGCAAUGGCUUUUUAUUCCGAAGAGGAAAAGACCGAGGAUUAUCUGUUCAAGAUUGUUUUAAUUGGUGAUUCAGCCGUUGGAAAAUCCAAUUUGCUUGCAAGAUUUGCUAGAGAUGAGUUCUACCCUAAUUCGAAGUCAACUAUAGGAGUAGAGUUCCAAACCCAAAAGGUGGAUAUCAAUGGUAAAGAAGUCAAAGCACAGAUCUGGGACACAGCUGGUCAAGAGCGGUUCAGGGCUGUCACAUCUGCAUAUUACAGAGGUGCCGUUGGUGCUCUUUUGGUAUAUGAUAUCAGUAGACACCAGACGUUUGAUAGCAUUGGCAGAUGGCUUAACGAACUCCACAGUAAGUUCUUAGACAGUAUUCCUAGAGUUUUUACUUAUAAUUUUCUUUUCAAGUACGUUUUUCUUCUGGGGCUGUUUGUUUGGUCAAGUGGAGACUUUUGUCAACAUUAUACAUUAUUUGGCUUACUUUCUAAGUAAUCUCAAUGAAGAAUUCUCAAUAUUUGGCUUGUUUAGUGGACUAUCUUAAAUGAAGUAAUGGCUUUUAAAUAUUGAUUCAAUAGUCAAUCUGUUCUUCCUAUACCCCUGUGGAUUCAAAAGAUUUCUUGCAUUUGUCCUUAAUUAAUGUGAUGAACUGAGGAUUGAUCAGGUGGAUAUACUGUUUAACAGCUCAUUCUGACAUGAACGUAGUUACGAUACUUGUUGGCAACAAGUCCGAUCUCAAGGAUGCCAGGGAGGUACCCACUUCUGAGGGCAAAGCCUUGGCAGAAGCACAGGGUUUGUUUUUUAUGGAAACGUCUGCUCUUGAUUCGUCCAAUGUCUCUGCCGCUUUUCAGAUGGUUGUGAAAGAGAUCUAUAACAUACUAAGCCGCAAAGUUAUGAUAUCUCAGGAGCUCAAGAAACAGGACCCCAGUUGGGUAGGGAGUGGAAAGACGGUGGUUUUGCAAGACGGGAGCCAAGAAGCAGCAGUUGCAGAGCCUAAAAAAGGUGGGUGCUGUUCAUCUUAGGGAUACACAACACAAGAGGUGUGGACGGAUCAUUUUGGCGGGUCCCAACAACCCUCUUCUUCUUUUUUUGUUUUGUUCCCACUAAUGUUCCUUGCAUUCCUUUUCCAUGUGAUCUAAUUUCUUGAAUUUGUUUAAAUGUUCAUUCAAGAAACAUGUUUUCACUCAGUCGGUUGAAGAUAAGAAAUUGAGGUAGAAGAUGUAAAUGACCUGAAAGGUGGAUUAGAAAAGCUUAUACAAUGUUCAAAAUCCAGUUAUCAAAAUGCACUGUACUUCUUAGCCAGUUUGUGUUUUUUCAUUUAUUGGUUCCUUAUUCUUAAUGCAAGAUAAGAUGGUGUUUCCCUCCAUUUUGCUUUUGUUUCCUUGACCUUAAUGGCUCAUUUGGUGCCUAGAAUUGGAUCAGGUUGGAUAAUUCACUAUAUUCAAGGUACGUUGUUGCCCUUAAAAUGCAAAAUCAUUCGCUACCUUAACAUUCCUUUACUGUAAUGAUGACUAACGAGUUAAUCAAUCCAAUCCUAGUCACCAAUUGACCCCUAAACCUAAAUGUUUGCUUUUUGUUGUGACUUAAUGUUGAUAUAAGAUCAACAAUUGAUCAAGGGGUUUAUUGCUUUUUCAUCUUUUGGUCUAAACAAGUACAUAUUGCAGUCAAAUAAGGUCGUUGACGUUAAUAUGUUUGAGUGUAUUUUAUACAUGAAAAUUUUAGCCGUCAUAUCUUGUCAUUAAAUUAUCUUAACCAAGAAUCUAAAGGCCGAAAACCCUGCAUACUAGCAAAUCCGGUGGUGGUACUUCAAAUCGAUGACAUAAUUGGUAAGGAAUACUAGCACCAUGGUCCGUCCGAAUUGCAGGCAAAAAUGUUACCAGUCGAUGAUAUCAGUUGAAAUGAUGUUUUGGUGGACUAAAAAUAAUUUGGACUGGAGGAAACCAUCCCAUCCCGUGAUCCCAGGCCCCACAGCCGCUACUCUUUACUCAUCGCUCACUUUUUGAAAACUAAUAAUUAAAAAAUAAUUUAUGAGAAAAAAAGGUUCGAUGACAGAAAUGCCCCUAUAGUACGACGUGGUGAUAUUUUAUUGCCUCAGAUCAUACGUACCCUGUAGAUCCAGUUUCCACUUCCGACCCCCACAAACACCAUUUUACUCAUUUUCUCAGACAGAAGCGGAUCAAAUAUAAUCCCUGUGGGUUUUGUUUGUUCAAAUUUCUCGCCUCUCCUCUCUUGAUAAAAUAUAUAAAAAAAAGUUAUAAAAAAAAAAAAAAAUGAAUCUCCGGAAUUGUUAUUCUACGAAGAAAACGGCAACUCCAUCCUCUCAACUCAUGCGAUGCAACAAGGUAAAUACAGUCUCUUAUUCUUCUUAAUUUGCUAAAUGUUUAUGUUGACCUGAGGCUGACUGUGACUGACUGGUAUGGUGGUCUGAUUUGUAUGAAGAUGCCGUCUUUCUUUUUUCCCAGAUAUCAAAUUAGCAUCAAAAUUGCACCUUUUUCUCGUUUCCUUCAUAAAAAUCGCGGCUUUAUGUUUUUCCCCGGAUCUUUCUUUCUUGUACAAAUUACAGUUGCCCCGUUUUCUAUCCAUGAUGUAAAACUGCUUUGUUUUGGUUGAUUUCCUUACUGUUAGCAGCCAUUGUUCAUAUUUGUUGAUAGUGCUUUUUGUAAACCAAGUGAUUUUUUUUUUCUUUUGGAUCAACUUAAAUGACGCUAAUUGUAUAAUCGUAUCAUGAAAUUGAACAGAGAUGAAGUUCGAUUCUCACUUUUUGUGCUAAAGGGAGCAGCAGCCCUUACUAGGAGCCCUUAUAGUUUAUAGGCAAAGGAGACGCUUGCCAAAAAGAAUGAUGAAUAGUAAGGGCGGCGAGUGCAACUUGGUGGACAGAAUUAGCAAGUUGCCAGAAGAAAUUCUCGUUACUAUUGUGUCUCUCUUGCCACUAAAAGAAGCAGGAGCUACCAGUAUUCUUUCCAAGCGAUGGCAAUAUGUGUGGGCGUCUACCGUGACUCUCGAUUUUGAUCCUAAACAUGAGCUGGGUGAACAUUAUUGCCGCCUGCUGCGUGUAGAACCAGAACAAAAAGACCUGCUAAGACAGAGAUAUGUCGAUUGGGUAAACACUGUGGUGGAACAACAUAGAGGCCCUGUUAUCGAACAAUUCCGGGCUUACUUUGAUAUAGAUGGUCAUUUUACAAGUUCCAUUGAUAAGUGGAUUCAGUUUGCAAUGAAUAAGAGAGUUCAAAUACUUGAGCUGGUGUUUUGCAAUGAAUUGAGAUCUAACUAUAAAGAUGUCUAUCCCUUUCCCGUCCAACUUUUAGGUCUCCAAAAUGAUUCUACCUUGAAGCUCAAUCCCACCCAUUCUGACAUUUCAAGUCUACAUUCCUCUAGAUACAAUGUUGGAUUUAAGUUCCUCAGAGUUCUUUAUUUCAAUUAUGUUGACGUGUCUGGAAAAGUUCUUGAAUACUUACUGUCAAAUUGUCCAGUUCUUGAAAGAUUAAAAGUGGACAGUGCUAACAAUAAGUUGGUUAAUUUAAGAGUAGUUGGUUCGUCGAUGGCAUUGAAAUAUUUAGAUAUUCAAUUUUGUUUUGCCCUCAGAAGCAUUGAGAUUCGUGAUGCAAACCUUGUUUCAUUCAUGUAUGUGGGAGGACGUCAUAUAAACUUGCUUCUCAGUAACGUACCUUUACUUGUAGAGGUAUGCGUUAAUGAGCGUAUUAAACCUUUCUUGUUUGAGGGUCGUAUCUACUAUCGAUCCAUACAGCUUCCCUUCACCCAACUGUCAUGCUGUCUUUCUCAGCUAGAGGUCCUCAUGCUACCCAUCGAUGGAGCGGUUAGUAUAUGCAAUUAUAAUUUGCUGGUUUUCUUUUCUUCUGUUUUCGUUAUGUAGUUUACUUAAUUUUUUUCCAUUCUAUGUUUCUGAUAAAUAGAGUCAAAAGUCGCUCUGAAUAAGCAGUAGCUUGUGUUAUACCAUAGAUUGAGCCUCAAUAUUUGAGCCUCAUUACUUAGCCCAUAAAUUACGUAAGAGGGGAGAAAAACCCCAUAGAUUGAGCCUCAAUAUUUGAGGCUCAUUACUUAGCCCAUAAAGUACGUAAGAGGGGAGAAAAACCCAACCCUUAGCAACAAGUAAUAUGGCAAACCCUAACCUCUCUAGCAACAAGUCUCUGUGUACAAAUGCUCCCCCCAUCCUAACCUCAAGGUGGUGGAAGUACUAGGGUAUCGUGCUCAUCCACGUGUUGGUGAACAUGUCAUGCACCUUAUAAAGAACGUUGCUGCACUGGAGAAAAUAAUUAUCGAUCCUGUCCGGCGUUGGGUGUAUCCUAUUGGAUCACAUUCUAACGAAAGGGUUAGGGGAGUUCAAGAGGUCAAAGAGGAAGUGCAAGGAAGAGCUCAUGCUAUGCAGCACCUAAAAGAAAUUGUGCCUUCAACUAUUGAAUUCGUAUGCCUCUAGUAUCAGCAAGUGCAGUGCUGAAAUUAUACAGACAUUGUAUUCGGUUGGAAUUCUCAAAGACUAGCUAGGCUCAGAUUAAUGGUGGUUAAGUGUGGUGUGAGCAAACAAACUUGAACCAAGACUUGGUUUGCCAUUCUUUGCUUAUAUUUAUUAAUCUUUUUCCAUUCUAUGUUUCUGAUAAAUAAAGUCAAAAGUCGCUCUGAAUAAGCAGUAGCUUGUGUUAUACCAUAGAUUGAGCCUCAAUAUUUGAGCCUCAUUACUUAGCCCAUAAAGUACGUAAGAGGGGAGAAAAACCCUUAGCAACAAGUAAUAUGGCAAACCCUAACCUCUCUAGCAACAAGUCUCUGUGUAUAAAUGUAACUCUCAUAUAUUGUUGUAUUCUUGUGUAUGUGUGAUUUACGAUUAGAUUUAAGUUUAUAUUCCAAAAACUAAAAUUAAUUGUAAACAUUCAGAAUAAAAACAAAUGUUGGUCUCAUGGCCCGCCAAAACGGUGGAGGCAGUGAUACCGCAUCACCACAAGGCAACAGGAUAUGACACCACCGUCGACGGAGGAGCUCCCAAGCCGAAGCCGGAAGGACCAUCAACGUCGACGAUAAUCUUUAUGCGACGUUAACUUUUGGAAUGUACAGGCACCGAUUUUGCCUGCUCCUUUCAGUUGGAGACGGAUCAAUGUCCCC